UCUUUAUUUUUAUUCUCAAUACUUUUUAUAUAGUUUUAAAAAUAUAUACAUAAUACCAUAAUAUGUAUUAAAUUAAAUUUUUCUAACAUACAAUUUAUAAUAAGCAGAGAUUUAUGAUUGAUAUUAGCUAUAAUUAGCUUUAACAUUACACAAGACAACCAAACCCAAAGCAACUAUAGCCACUUUAUUUUAUUUUAAAAAAGCAAACAUAUAUGAUAUGCUUUUUCUACAUUAUAUCAUUACAUAUAUUGCCUCCAAUAUCUCUGCUUCAACCUUUCAUGUGUUGCACUUCAUUUGCAGUUGCAAGGGUCACAAGUGCAGCUAUCACCACACUUGCAGCCACCAUCCUCAGCUGCAACACUCAUUUCAGCACCAUCAAACUGGAUCUUCGCCGGACCGACGCCAAGAAUCACGGUUUCUGUGGUUUCCAUUUCGGAGUAGCUCAAUCCACUAGACCUCUUGUUGCAUCUGCACAGCAAUAAAAAUCAAAAUAAUCCAAUAAAAUAUUAACAAAUUUUUUGCAAGAUUGAUUCUUAAGAAAAAAAAUAAAUACCAACAGAUUAAUAACCAUAUAGAAAAAAAUAAUUAUAUAGAUUUUAAUGUAAGGAAGAGUUAAGGUGGUGGAUCCUUACUUGCAGCUAUCACCACAGUUGCAACUGCUUCCACAACCACAGCUAGACAUAUUUUCAGAAACUAAGAUUUUUUUUGCAAACAACAAUUGAUAUUAAUUGCUUGGUUAGUGUUAUCUUCUAUAAAAGUGGUGUCUUUUAAUGAUGCUGUGUGACUCCAAUUUAUAAGGUGGAAGAGAAUAAUCAGUGAAAUCUUGACCGUCCACGUGUUGUAAUCUUGUGUUGUAUGGGUCCACAAGCCUACGCUUGGAUCAAUUCCUAGUAGACAUCGUUUUCAUUGCACGUCUUAUUGUGGUGUUGGCGAUAAAAUUGUUGCAUGCUUGCUGAUUGGUUUUCACAAAACAUGAUAUUUUAUUGAUUUUAUAAAUUUACUUUUAUUAACAAAUCAUAUUUGAAUAUAAAAGUCACCGCAACGUUUUUGCUUUUUGUACUUUUGGAGAAACAAUUGUUUGAUGAGAAAUAGAAUUUUGAAGCGGUAGGAUAAGUUUUCGGUACGAUAGAGAGAAGUUAAUAGUGAAAAAGUUAAAAAUAUAUAAUGAGGAAGAAUGAAUUUGAUUAUUUAAAAAUGACAUUUUUUUUCUUUUAUGGUUGAGGUGGUUAAAACCGCAAGCGAGGAGUGUGGCGUGAAUUGUCAUCACUGGUUCGAUUGAUCUGGACUGUUGAUAAUGUUUUAGAGGUGAAAUUGUCUAUUCUCAACGAGGAUGGAGGAACACUUGUUUCUCGCAUGCGCUCCUUUGCUUAGGUUUCGUCCAUUGCCUUGUGAGCGGCCACAAAUUGUUGUCCCCAAACCCUUGCUAUUGCUUUGUAAGAUACGUGUUUGCUAUAUACGUUCUAGACCGAUUGAUUGGCAUGAGGAGAUGAAGAGCUCUGAUGGGACAUCACUAUUAUUGGUAACAUACACAUUAAGUAUCUUUCUAGUAAUAAAUCUGAUGUGUGUUCCUAUGCUAGUUCCUAAUGAUUCUUCGUCUUCCUUAGAGAACUUAAGUACUUUGCAUAAUCUUUGAUGAAAUAUCGAUCGUCGAUGGUGCGUAGUAGAUCAUAUGAUCUCUAGUGGUAAAGGCACAUAUAAAAGAUCUCUAAAGCAUCAUUUUUCUAUUUAUUGUCAUCUGCAACCUGUGAAAGAUCUUAUUCUUGUCUUGCCAACUUCGUUCUUUAUCGAUAACUCUUUAAUUCUAGUUUCUUGCCUAAGCUCACAUGCAAUUUUCGUUUGGUGGCCUUUGAUACGCACACCAACCUACUUGUUUUAAGGUAAAGCCAAUGACUUAUUCUUGCUUUUGCCUUUUUAUAGUAUUUUUUGGACAAUGAGUUUUUUAGAAUGGACAUUCCAUCUUACAUAUUUUGCAAGGAAAUGAGGAUAUUUAUGUUGGACAAGCAUUAACUACCAUACAACGUAAUAUACCUACUAAGACUUCUGAGUCUCAUUUCCCUUGAAGGAGGAACACACAUACAUGUACUUUUUAACUAGUACAAUGACGUCCAUCGUGGGUCUUUGUAAAACUAUCAUAUGCCACACCGUGUUCAUCACCAUCACCCUGCAUGUUGUUACCCUUCACUCAUACACCUAGCCAUUUACAUCCAUGGCAAACAGGAGAGCUUCAUCCCCACACCAGAAGAUACCAGUAGUAUUGGUGAUGUCGAUGCUCUAGCAGAGAUGCGUGCCUCCAUGGAUGAGUUACGUCGCUAUAACCACACGCUGGAGGAUGAUGUCCACAAUAUCAAACAACGCCAAUAGGAUUCCAAUCCCUAGAGGAGAUGUAAAUGUUAGACCCCUAGCCGCUCUCAGAUGAGAUAUGGGGGAUAUAUGCCCCGAGGGUUUCAAACAUCCAUACUUGGCCAAUUUUGAUGGGCGCAAAGAUCCCUACGAGCAUGUCGCCUCCAUCAAUACAAAGAUGGCCAUUAUAGGAGUACCUGCCUCCCUGAAGUACAAGCUGCUAUCUAGCAUUUUUAGGGACGUCGCCCUUCGAUGGUAUAUGGGUUUAUCCGUGCCUCCAUCAACAACUAUCAUAAACUGGUAAAGAAGUUAGUACACCAAUUCCUCGCCACAGAAAGAUGUCCACCACACGCCUAUUUAACAUAUGUCAGGGUCCAUCAAAGUCUCUGAGGGGCUACUUCUACUGCUUUAACGAGGCCACCAUCAAGGUCGUCCCACCUAACCAAAAAUGUUUAUGGUGGCAUUCCAAAAUAGAGUUGAGGCAUAACAAUUUAACGAGUCCCUCCCCCAUAAGCCAACAUUUUAGUUGGCAGAAGUGGUCACUAGAGUAGAGUCCUACAUAAAGGGUGAUGAGAAUAACAAUGAAAAAAAGGCGCACGAUGUCAAAGAGCACGUUCCCAAGGUCGGUGGCUCACAUCACCAGAGGAAGAGAAAUUAUACCUCAACCAUAAGCCAACAUUUUAGUUGGCAGAAGUGGUCACUAGAGUAGAGUCCUACAUAAAGGGUGAUGAGAAUAACAAUGAAAAAAAGGCGCACGAUGUCAAAGAGCACGUUCCCAAGGUCGGUGGCCCACAUCACCAGAGAAAGAGCAACUAUACCUCACCCAAAAAGGACCAUACUACAUUCAAAAGGGUAGGUAAGGUGGCAGAGAACUUCAAACCCUUGAACACUCACCACGAGCUAAUCUGGUACGAGGUUCUCCACCUUCACAACAUCCCUCUGGCGCCUACUCCUAAGACAAAUGUGAUGGGUUCUGAAUUGUUUAGGUGGUGCAAGUUCUAUAUUAUCAAGGGACACCACACCGAAGAUUUCUACUAACUCAAAUAGGAAAUCACUAGAUUAAUACAUGAGGGAAACCUCAAGAAAUAUGUGAGGCGCAACUCCCCCCAUUCGGAAAAUAAGUAUAACCCGCGAAGGCGAGACGAUGUUGGAAGCCCUAGACCCAAAAAAUCCCAAGAUGAUCUUUAAGAAGUAGGUAGUAAAAAUGCGUACCACACACUUAACACCGUAGCUUAAGGAUUAGCCAGGGCAGGGAAACCAACUCCGCCCAAAGCAGGUAUGCUCGCCAGAUCCUGAGUAUGGAAAACCUCCUUAAAGUUAAGACCGAAAGCAAGCGCCAAAUUCACAAGCCAUGAUCGCCUUCUCGGGGAAAGAUGCAGUUGUCAUCCAUCCUCUUAACUAUGACCCCGUGGUCAUUACCGUUAAGUGCGAAAGUUAGGGAAUUAAAAGAGAUAACAUGUACGUGUACGUGUAAAUGGGCAUAUCACCUUGAGGAUCACUUUUAGAUAGCAGGAAAAAGAGAUAAAAGUCAAAUAUCUGGUUAGUGAUGCCCCUUCUUCGUAUAAUAUGAUUAUAGGGCGACCGACCUUUAACCUGCUGGGCGACACCUUGUGAAAUAUGUAUUUGUGCAUGUCUCGAAUAGUUCUUUAUAGAAAAUAUUUGUUUGUUGGUUGAUUUUAGAGAAUAAUGUUUAGGUCGCAUUCAAGCGGUUUAACAUCUACUUGUAUGCUCGCACUAUGGAGGCUGGAUCAUCUGUUUAUAAUUCGUGUAGCAAUGGAUAAAACACUAUUCUUUUAUGAAAAAGUUUAUUUUGAUUGCAUCAGAGUAAAAAGUUAGUUUGGUGAGCUGAGAUUGAUUUUAGGUGGAAGACGAGUAACUGGUUCCAGCAAAGUGUACACUAAGCCUCCGAUACUCGAGAAACAAACAAAAAUACAUUCACCUGCUCCCUUUCUAAUCCAAGUUAAUUUAUAUAUAUUUUUUUAAGUUAACUAAUUACGUUCAUUAUAAUUGAUUCAGUUUUGAAAAUGGAUUUGAUGUAGGUUAACUUGUAAACAUGAUGAUUUAAUUGAAAAUAAUUUGAUUUUUCUUAUUUAUUGUGACAACUAUUCAAUUUGAUUUUUUAUGGAGAAUAAAAAUAGAUUUUUGAUUAUUAGCAUUCACAAUGUUCAUAAAAAUCCUGAAAUCAUCAAUUUAAUUAAUUAUAAAAAAAACAAAUAGCAAAAAUUUAAAACAAGAAAAGGGUGCAAACAAAGGUAGUAAAUUAAAACAAUGGUAUUGAAGUCAAAAAAUACAAAAAAAAGGGAAAGAAAUAAAGGGGGCGUGUGGUAAAAGAGGAGAAUGCCUAAUUGAGAGGGGCCCAAAGCUGGUCAAUAGGGGAAAGGGAGUUGACUUCGUGUGGGCCGCCUGAUUGCAUCAAGCGACCAUGAUGCGUUGUGCAUGAUAAGGCUAGUGAAUGGGGUAGUGUAGGAUCAUGGGAAAGAGAAAAGGAGGGAUCACGCCAUGUGGCGCAUUAUCUGCCACAUAAACUAGUCAAUAGUCAACUACAACAAACGGCCCAGAUUAAUUAUGAAUUUAAGCUUCUUCUUCCCCACUCAUGCAAGGCCAAUUGCACAAUAACAACAUCAAUGACUACUUUUUCUUUGAAAAUCACCUAAUAUGCAUAUAAUUUAACAAAUAAAUAUGCAAAAUUCAUCUAUGAAUCGUCAUGAACAUGAAUCCAUGAUCAAAGUGUAUUAAUUAACAACAAAAAAUGGUGAGAAUUAGGAUUUAAAGUAAACCUGAAUUUGAUUGAGUGGCUCGAUCCGGCCAUAACUUGAUGUUUUGAAUCACUUUGCAUUUUUUCUUCAAACGGUUGAUUUUUUAAUUUUCCGGGUUUUUGUUCUUGAAUGUUCAUGAACACUCAUGAACAUCAAUAACACUAAGAACACCAAUUUUUCAGAAAUUCAUAUUUCAAUUUAUUUUGAACAAAUGAUUAAAGGAUAUAAAACAUAGUAAGUGUAGAAACAAUUUUAUGUAAAAAAAAUCACACAAAAUACAAUGGUCAAGCCUUACCUAAGCGAAAAAACCUCAAGAAUGCGAUGAACACUGAUGAGCAACCCAAAUUCCGAUCAAGCUCCAAUAUUGCUCCAUCUAAACUCGUUUUUCAUGUCUCUUUGUAGAUCUAAACACCUAUUUAUCUUCUAUACCUCAUUCCAUCAUAAUUUCACAAUUUCUACAUUUUUUUUCAAAAUCGAGUUCAAAAUGGAUUUGCGCGAAUUUGAGUUUUGGUGUAGUUGUGUGUAGUUUUUUUUUGUCUAUACUAUGUAAUUGGACUCAUAUUUAUAAUAAUUUUCAUGUUAACAUAAAAGGAAAACAAGUCAUAGUGACAAAUCGCGACCAAUUAAAAACAAGCAUGACAAAUUGCGACCAAUUAGAAACAAGUAUGACACAUUGCAACCCUUUGAACAUGUAUGAUCAAAGAUCGUCGUCAACCUGAAAGAUCGGUGCUUAGAUCAAAGAUAAAAAUAUCUUCGUCAACCCGAAGGUCGAUGCUUACAUCAAGGAUAAAAAGAUCGUUGUCAACUCGAAGGUUGAUGCUUAGAUCAAGGAUAAAAAUAUCGUUGUUAACCCGAAGGUCGAUGCUUAGAUCAAGGAUAAAAAGAUCGACGUCAACCCGAAAGUCGAUGCUUAGAUCAAGGAUAAAAAGGUUGUUGUCAACCCAGAGGUUGAUGCUUAUAUCAAAGUUAAAAAGAUCAUCGUCAACCCGAAAGUUGAUGCUUAGAUCAAACAUGAAAAGAUCAUCGUUAACUUAGAAGCUUGAUGCUAAAAUCGUGGGAUAGGUCGUCGCCAACUCAAGGGUCAGCGCUUGGACCUACAAAUGAGAAAAGAUCACCGUCAACCCAAAGGUCGAUGCUUAGAUCAAAUAGGAAAGGAUCAUCGUUAAUAUGAAGAUUAAUACUUAGAUCAACAUAGGACAAGUUUGUCAUCAACCCGAAGCUCGACGUUUAGAUCACGGUAAAGUGAUCAUCGUCAAUCCGAAGAUUGAUGCUUAGAUCAAGGUGAGAUAAAUCAUCACCAACCAAAGGGUCAGUGCUUAGAUCGCACAUGAUAAGAUCAUCAUUAACAUGGAGGUUGAUGAUGCCUUAGAUCAUUACAGGACAAGAUCGUCGUCAACCCGAAAGUCAAUGCUUAGAUGAAGACAAACUGAUCAUCGUCAACCCAAAGGUCGAUGCUUAGAUCAAGGAUAAGAUCUAAGAAUGAUGAUUAGAUUAACAGAUAGAUCAUGGCCAACCCAAAGGUUAAUCCUUAGAUCAAACAAGAAAAUAUCUUCGUCAACUUGAGAGACCACACAAAUUCAAAUCAGUCGGAAAUUCAAGUGGAAGCAGUUGAGAAAGUUACGAUUGGUACAAGCACGAAAGAAAGUUUUUCUGUCAACUAGUGCAAUAUUGAAACCACACCACCAAAACUAGAUAAUAUUGAGAGACUAUCAAUUAUAUUCGAAAGUAUUCCAAACCCGUUCCUGGAUAUUACAUUAAGUCAUGAUCCAAGUCAAUUAUUUGUACUUUCUAAGGAUUCAAAUAAUGAAGAUUUGAAGGGACAUGAGUACCUAGACAAUUCCAUAUUACAAAUUUGGUGUUCGUAAGUAUAGCUUUUAUGUUGAUUUUUAUUUAUAUUCAUAAGUUCUUGUACAUUAACAUAAAGAUUUGACUCUUGCAGGUUCAUGCAUGAGUUCUGUGUUGAAAGUAAUACAAAUAAGUAGUAUUUCUUAGAUCCAUCGCGGCUUGGUCUUACUCACGGUUCGACAGGAAACAAUAUCUUUGUUUACAUACAAGAAAAGUUGAAAGAGAACAAAGAGUAUUAUUUGGUCCGUUUUUACUGUGAGUAAGUAUAUAUUAAUUUGUAUUUUCCUUUAUAAAUCAAAUUUAUACAUAUUAUUAAUUAUUCUGAAUUUUUAUGCAUUGAACAUUGACAACUAAUUGUUAUAUGUCCGAGGAAAAAUGUUAUAAUUGUGUUUUGCUCGUUGCGCUUUGUGCUGCCUAAAGUUGUGGUUAACACUUUGAAUGCGUAAGUGGUAUUAUUCUUAAUAUUCAAAUUUUAAUUUUAGAUUUGAAUAGUUUCUAUUCAUUUUUAAUUUUAACCAACAUGUGUAGAAUGAUUGAAGAACAUAAUGCAAUCAAACAAAAUUUACUUGGUUAAAAGCCAAACUAUGGAUAUCCAAAAGUAAGUAUACUACUUGUGCUUUUUGACUGUAUUAUUUGUGUGUAUUAGUGGUAUAAAUAUAUGAAAUUAUUCGUAGUGACGAAAACAACCCAACAACUAUUCUUGGGGAUACUAUGUUAUAAGAUAUAGACAUUACAAAUGGAUGGAUGAAGCACCAGGUAUACAUAUAUAUACACAUAUUUAUAUUUCUUAAGUUAAUGUUGUUGUUGUUAGCUUAUCGUAGUUUAAAGUUUGUUUUAAUUAUGAGUUUAAUGACAGAACACCAUACUCAAAAGAAGAUAUAAAUGACAUCCGAUCACAUUGGAUCAUUGCCUUCUAUUCAUUUUUUUUUGAAUCUUGACAACAAUAAUUUUUCUUGGUUGUUAUAAUAUUAAUUUGUAUAUGUACAUAGGUUUUGUCAUUUUUAUAUGCAAAUAUGUAAAUGUGUGUAUUUUGUAUUGAUGAGAAUAAUGUAAAUGUGUACAUUUGGUUUUGAAAGCAAUGAUAAUUUAUUAUUAUGUAUUUAAAAGAUUUAAAAUGAUAUGAUAUAUUUCAAUUUUGUCAUAUAUUUUGUAAUUUCUAUAUAAGAAAUGAUACAGGUCAGUGAAAAUAAGAUUUACAACAAUGUAAAUUUGAUAUUAUGUGUUUACAGGCUAAUGAAAAUAAGAUUUAUAAUGAUAUGAUACAAACUAGUGAAAAUAAAAUUUAUAAUGAUAUGAUACAAGCCAGUGAAAAUGAGAUUUAAAACAAAUUAUAUAUGAAAAUAAAUAAGAUUUAACCCCUCGAUUAUCACCUAAAAUCAAAGUAAAAGUAUACCUUAUUACCUCAAUUUUAAAUAAAACCGAGAGGUAUAUGACACACGCAACAAAAUUUGGAAAAUAAAAAUAUGUUAUUGCUAGGGAUCGAACCAAUGACCAUUUACUUUCUAAAAUCGAGGAAAAAAUGGCAAGUUAUCAUGUCACCCUUCGUUACCUCGUAUGUGUAAUCGAGAUAAAAGUCAUUUCGCGACAGAGAUAAGAUGUGUUAUUUAUAAUAGUGUUAUCAAUUGGAUAUGGCAAGAUCACGGGAAAGAGAAAAGGGGGACAACUACAUGUGACACGAGAUCUGACACAGAAACUAGUCAACAAACAACUGCAACGAAUGGUCCUGAUUACUUUUGGAUUUAAGCUUCUUUUUCCCUACUCAUGCAAGACCAAUUGCACAACAACAACAAUGAUUAUUUUUUCUUGGAAAAUCACCAAAUAUGCAUGGAAUUGACAAAUAAAUAUGCAAAAUUCAUCUACGAAUCAUCACGAACAUGAAUCUAUGAUCAAAGUGUAUCAAUUAACAAUAAAAAAUGACAAAAAUUAGAAUUUAAAAUGAAUUCAAAUUUGACUUUGAGGGACUCAAUCCGGCCAUAACUUAGUGUUUUAGACCAAAAAUAAUAAUUAAUUUAAAAAUAUAUACAUAAUACCAUAAUGUAUAAGAUUUGUCUAAACAUACCAUUUAUAAUAAGCAGAGAUUUAUGAUUGAUAUUAGCUAUAAUUAGCUUUAACAUUACACAAGACAACCAAACACAAAGCAACUAUAGCCACUUUAUUUUAUUUUAAAAAAGCAAACAUAUAUGAUAUGCUUUUUCUACAUCAUAUCAUUACAUAUAUUGCCUCCAAUAUCUCUGCUUCAAACUUUCAUAUUCAUUUGCAGUUGCAAGGGUCACAAGUGCAGCUAUCUCCACACUUGCAGCCACCAUCCUCAGCUGCAACACUCAUUUCAGCACCAUCAAACUGGAUCUUCGCCGGACCGACGCCAAGAAUCACGGUCUCUGUGGUUUCCAUUUCGGAGUAGCUCAAUCCACUAGACCUCUUGCUGCAUCUGCACAGCAAUAAAAAUCAAUUAUACAUAUUAAUAUAUGUUUUUAAUUUAUGGACGGCUAAAGGGAAACCUUAUCUUAUUUUAAUACCAUCAAAAAGCUUUUUAAGAUAUUCAAGUGACAAUUGAUUCAAUAUUGGCCAUCAAUUCAUAGUCUUUAGACAGUUAAAAUCUGAAAGAGAAAAAUCUAUGGAGAGAAUUAAAGACAAAAACUUUUGUUUUCUUCUUUUGAGGCAGCUAAUAAAAGACAUAACUCUUUACAAAGUAUCUACUUUUCUUGAGUAGUGAUAAAUCUUUUCAAAAUAUUCUAUAUUUUUGACAAAUAACCAAUAAGAUUGUUGGGUUUAUAUUUUAAUUUAAAACUUCUUAAUUUUAAAAAGUAAAAAUUUAUUUUAGAUUUAAAUUGUCUAAUCCCAAUAAUCAAAUUUCUUAAAACAUUUCAUGUCAAUAAAUCUGAUUUUUAAAUUUUUAAAUGAAUUUAUUUUAAAUUUAAAUUGUUUAAUAAAUUUAAAAAAUCUGAAUUAUAAAAAUCAGGUUAAUCAAUUAUUCAGUAAAUAUGAACUUUAUUUUAAUUUUUGUUUAGAAUAAUAAUAAGAAUGAGGAUAGUCAAAAGUAACCAUAAAAAAUGGAAGUAUCUAAUUUCAUAAAACCCAACCAAAAAGUACUUAAAAAAUACAAUAUUAUAUUAACAAAUAUAUGUAAGAUUCAUUCAUAAGAUAAACAAUAAACUCGAAAGAAUUAAGGUGGUGAAUCCUUACUUGCAGCUAUCACCACAGUUGCAACUGCUUCCACAACCACAGCUAGACAUAUUUUCAGAAACUAAGAUUUUUAAUGGUGCUGUUAUCUUCACUACAAUUGAUGUCUUUUAAUGGUGCUGCGUGCCCUCAAUUUAUAAGGUGGGAGAGAAUAAUUUGUGAAAUCUUGACCGUCCACGUGUUGUAAUCUUGUGUUACUUGGGCCCACAAGGCUACCCUUGGAUUAUUUCCACGUAGACAUCGUUUUCAUUGCACGUCUUAUUGUGGGGUUGGCGAUUAAAUUGUUGCAUGCUUUGCUUCAAGUCAAAUGUGAUUAGUGUCUUAAUUGGUUUGCACAAAAAUUGAUUUUGAAUUUAUUUUAAGAAAUUUAUUGCACUGAAAUAUUAAGUUUAAAGGUGGGUUAGAAUUCGUGGUUUCAAGGAAAGACUAUUUUAGAGAUAAAGUUAAGGCCUCUUUUGUUUUGGUUUCUUUAAAUGAUUUUUUUAAUGUUAUAUAAUUUUGAUAACAAAAAUUUAUAAAAAAUGUAUGAUGUUAUUGUCAUAUUGUAUAAAAUUAAGAGCUUUUUUUUGAAAUUGUAUAAUGUACUAAAUUCUAAAAAGAUUUAUCUAAGAUAUACAAUAUACACAUUGUAUUUUUUUUCCAAUUCUCUUUGUCUCCUCCAUUUAUCAUCUCAUUUGUUUUUAUCAUCAUCACAAUAAUCACUUUCUUUUAUUUAUUGUGCUUUUGAUAAUUAUUUUUUAAAAUUUUACUUUACUUUUAUUAGUAACAUGUGGUUAUAUUUUCGUGACAAGUGUGAAUGAAAUUGAUAUCAAUAGAUUUGCAACACUCGCACAUAAUCAUCCACAUACAAUGGACAAAAGUGGUAUCGUGGUAUUAAAUUGACGGAAUAGCUUUUUUAAGGAUAGAUGGAGAUAAAUACUAAAUAUGGUUGUUUUGUUUGUUGCUUAUGUAUUGUGUCAUUACAUCAUAUUUGUACAAGGGCAUGCAUGGUAGCAACAACUUCUGAUGAAUUUUUUUAUAAAAAAAAAUUAGCAACCGCAAGUGCUUUUGUAUUUUUUUUGAUAUUGAUGCAAAAUAUAUAUGAAAAAAAAUAAUGAAAUACUAGUGUCAUAGUUUUGAUCAAAAUGUGUAAAUUUUUUUUUUAAAAUUGAUCUCUGUGGAUCUCCACGGGGAUCUGUGGGGAUGAAGAUGCAAAAAAAUAUUCUCCUAUGACGGGGAUCGAGGACGAGAAUGGAGAAUAAAUUGGGAGGCGGGUGGGGAGAUGGAAAUCAUCCUCCAAACAUUCUCUACCCGUUGACAUUCCUAAUUAAAAUUUUCCAAGGUCGAAUUCAAGACCCCGUACCUUUAUGGUUGUGCGAAUGAAAUUUUAAUAAUUAUUAUGUUUAAGAUAUUAAACUUGUAUCAAUGAAUUUUUUAAAUAAUUACUCAUUCCGUUCCUUUUUAAGUGUCACUUGAAAAAAAAAUUGUUCCAUUUUAAAUGUCACUUACAAAGUUCAAGGUAGUAUUAACUGUAUUUUUGUCAAAAUUACUCCUACGUAAUUAUUACAGAGAGAAAAAGUAAAAUGAAUGUAAUAAAUAAUUAAGGGUAUUAUAGGUAAAAGAAUAAUUAUUGUUUGAAAAAUAUCAAUAAUGAUUAACUUUCUUGAUAUGUGUAAAAAGUUAAAAAAUGACACUUAAAAAGAAACAGAGAGAGUAUUGUUAAUUUGUCUACAAAUAAAAUAAAAUAAAAUUCAAACAUACCUCCAUCAAUUUAAAUGCUUUUAUUUUGGAUUAAAAACAAGCAAUGUUCAUUCAUUUAAAUUGAUCGAAUAUACUUAAUAAAAAUAAUACAAAUUCUAUUAAAAACGAAAAGAUUAAAAGUGCGAACAAACUCACAUAAUCUAAGUUAAUAGCAUAAAAUAACAAAUUGUGUACAUACAUGACUCGUGUUCUACAAUGUUGAAGAUGGAGGGAUAUUGCUACAAAAUACGUUGCGAAAAACAAUUUUUUUAAGUCGAUCCUUACGAAAGAACUUGAUCAAUAAUAAGAUGAUUACCUCUUGUGGUGAUUUUCUAUUGAUGCAAAAUAUAAAGAGAGAUCUUGAGCAUUGGACUAACGACAACACCUCUAUUCAGUCCACAAAAUAUAAUGUUUUCAAUCUCUGUGCUAGCUGAUCUGAAUGAAGAGAGAGAGAGAGAGAGAGAGAGAGAGAGAGAGAGAGAGAGGAGAGAGAGAGAGAGAGAGAGGAAGAGAGAGUCCAAGAUUAGAGAGAGAGAGAGAGAGAGAGAGAGAGAGAGUCCAAGAUUCUUAAGUGUUAGAUUUUUACAAAUUAAAUUUUGUCAAGCAUGAAUACUUCAACACAAAUGUUCUAUUCAUAGAACCGCUUGUGUGGACUGCAAGCUUAACAAGUCCACUUAAGCAUACCGUACCUUAUAAUGUACCGUAUUUCACAUAGUACCUUAAGAUGUUAUAUAUUCCAUUUAAAUACAUCAUAUAUUACAAUGUUAUGUAUUUUACUUAAGCAUAACAUAGCUUACGAUGUUCCGUGUUCUACUUAAAUAUACCAUACCUUAGGAUGUUUUGUAUUUCACUUAAGCAUAGUGUACCUUACAAUGUUCCACAUUUCUCUAAUUAACACUUGUGAAUUAUAAGACAACAAAAUCAAAUAGGAUUCACUUAUUUAUUUUAUCUCUCAUAAUCUGUUCUUAUGCGAGUGACCCUAUAUGUCUCGUAACAUUAAUAGUUAUAUUAAAUCACACAUUUAAUAUAAUAAAUAACGAGCAAUAUUUAGAUACACACCACUACUACCAAAAUAACAAAUAAUGUCAUGUGAUAUGAUGAAACAUUUCCAUGAUAUUAUUUAUGGAUAAAAUUACCUUUUUUUUUAUCUUAUGUAUAUAUUGAACACAAGACAUAGAUUGUGUCACCGUUGCCUAAUUCAAUAUUGAGCCUAAAGACAUUUAUCUUGUUAUACGUGACAUGAAAAUUAAAUCUAGGUCACUCACGUCCAUUAACAUAUUUUAUGGAGUACCUAUCAACACUAUCUUUAUGGUUAUCGUAUUACGGAUAUCGUUUGAAUGAUAAUGAAGUAUUUGACUCCACAUUCACAGACCAUGGUAAAUUCAGAUUGAAAGGUGGUAUACACCAUUAUCCCAAAGAGAAUAACUUAUGACACUUGCAUAAUAUUUUAUUUAGUAUUCUCAUUGUAAAUAAGUCUUAUAUAAAUAUUACUCAUAAUAUUUAGACAUAUGUGAAAAUUUGAUAACUCUCUAUCUAUGAUCCAUGAGACAUGAUCAUCAAUUUAUCCACAUAAUAAUCUUAAUACUUUAAUGUUAUCCCACUUUACAAUAAACUUGAUUGUAGAUACUUUAAGAAUAAUACCUUUAUGUUUCAUGAUGUCUCAUGAUUAAGUAACACUUAAUAUUUCUUCAAAUCGACUAACUACUCUAAGUACUUUAUUACUUUAAAAAACAAACAUAAUAAACUUAUUAUUAUUAUUAUUAUUAUUAGAGUUGAAUAUGUUUGUAGUCCGCCUAAAUAUCUCAAUCUUCAAUUUAAUCUCUCAAAAAUUUUAUUUAAAGAAUGAUCCUGUUAAUACUUUUCAUCCACGCUUUUGGUCUCUCCUGCUAAAGUUUAUUAAAAGAAACUGACAUGGCAUGUUAUAUGAAAAAAUUUAUGAUUGGCCAAACAUGUGGUAAUGCCAGCGUGGUAAGAUGCUUACAUGGAUGCCACGUGCCUUUUGUCACCCAUUUUAUAAUUUUUAUAUUAAUAAAAUUUCUAGUGAUAUAAUUUUUUUCCGCUAAAUUCGCCGCUAACAUGAGCAUCAUACCAAAACCCAAAAACCGUAGUUAAUAUGUGGCUAAUCCGCAACUAAUCCUUAGCUAAUUCAAAUACAUCAUUCUUAUGACCUAAACUUCAUUUUUUUAAUGAUUUUUGACAUUAAAGUUUAUCAAAUCAUAAGGAUCUCUCUAACAAUUUAUUUUUUGACUUGAGAUGAAUCAAAUAUAAAUUAUUUAACUGUCGAUUUUCCAUGAAACGAAAACAAUGCAAACAUUUGAAUAUGAUUCAACUUUAAAGGAUCUGCAAAGUUUCAUGGUAUUUUAAAUAAGUUUCGAUUUACUUUUAUUUUCCGAUCGAAACACGUAUAAAUGUGUUUUUUUCAAGAGACAAAACAACAUAUUUAACCCUAUCAGUGGUAAAAAGGGUGACAUAAUUUAAUUAUUGUCAUGAUCUUUUUUGCAUGUUAGUGUAUACUAUUACAAGGAUCUCUCUCACAAAAAUUGAAUUUUGUUUGAUGUGAGAGUAAUUAAAUAAGUUUUUUUUUUAAUUGCCGAUUUUUCAUGAAACACAACUAACGCAAACUUUUUCAUAUGAUUGAAUUUUGAGCUAAAAUUUUGUAGAACUUACUACAUAACACAUAAAAAUGAUUUGAAGAUUUUUUGUGGAAUUUUGAUUGAUUUUAGCUUAUUUUGAUUUAUUUUCGCCUCUUGAAAAAACACAUUUAUAUGUGUCUCGAUCGAAUAAUCAAAAUAAAUCGAGAAUUAUUCAUAAUGUAAUGAAACUUUUUAGAUCAUUUUUAUAUAUUUUGAGAUAAGUCCCUGCAAAAGAAUAGUUUAAAAUUCAAUCAUAAUUCAACUUUUACCUUGUUUUCGUUUCAUAGAAAAUCGGUGCUUAAAAAAAUUCAUAUUUGAUUAAUUUCAAAUAAAAUAAAUUAAACUUUUAUGACAAAUGUUUAUAAUGUGAUAAACUUCCAUGCAAAAGAUCAUUAAAAAAAACAAAGUCUAGGUCAAAAGAAUGUUGUAUUUGAGUUAAUUAGAAAUUAGCUACGGAUUAACUACAAAUUAGCUGUAGUUUCUGAAUUUCGGUAUGAUGUUCACGUUAACGACAAAGUUUCUAUCGCAACAAAUUUUAUUAAUAUAAAUAAGAUAAAUUAGUGACAAAAUGCCAUGUGUCAUCCAUGUUAGCAUCUUUGUCACACUGACAUUGUCACGUGUAUGCUUUGAAAUGAAAAGUUUUCAUUGUCAUGCCACACCAGCAUCUGUUAACAAACGUUAGUUAGAGAGACCAAAAGUAUGGAUGAAAAAUAUUAUAAAGACCGUUUUUUGAAAAGAAAAAUUUGAGAGAUUAAAAGUGAAGAUUGAAAUGUUUAGGAGGACUACAAACAUGUUUAAAUCUUAUUAUUAAUAGAUAAUUCGAUAAAAUAUCAAGAUGUAAUAAAAUUAUAAGUCUCUAGAACUUACACCAAUAAAAAACGUCAAAAUCAUUGAUGGAAUAAGCCCUUAAUUAGAAUCAAAUGAACACUACGACAAAACUACUAAGAAAAAAUGCAGCACAAAAUUGUAAUAAAUUAACAAAAUUCCAUACAAAAAUUUAAAUAAUAAUAAUAAUAAUAAUAAUUUAUUUAAAUAAAAACCAAUCAAGAUUAAGGUGUUUUACUGACCCUAAAUUACCUCUCUUUUAUAGAUGACAAAGAAGACAAAACAAAACCUUUUUUUAAAGAGACUAAUAAAUCUAUUUUAUCCUAUUUAUUUAAAUACUUCAUUCCUAUGUUUUAUUUAAAUACUACAUUCAUAUGUUUCUCCGCUCAUAGAUGAUACUUUGUUUGGAUAGAUAAAUAUUUUAAUAUGGAUAAGGAUGAAUGGAUUUGUAAAAAAAUAAAUAAUAGUCUUUGUCAUGAUAUUUGAUGUUCUAUAUAAUUUAUUUGAGGAAAGAUCUAAACAUGCAAGAUGGGGAUUUAAGUUGCGUUUAGUUAAAAAAAAAAAAACUUAACUAAAUCGUUUCUCUAAUGGGAGAGCUACCUCUUGUCUCUCUACAACCCUCGAAUUUCACCUUUAUGCAUAAAGAAUCUAGUCCACUAUAACCAAACAUGAAUGCAAGUAUUCUAUACGCCUCUUCAAGGUCUAUGUAUUCUUUAACUAAACUUAUCAUGGAUUCUUUCAACAAAAUAAUAAUGGUUAACAUGUAUUCUUUCACCAAAAUAAUAAUGGUCAUUUUGUCAACCUUAAUAAUAUUUUAUUUUUAUUCUUGAGUUUUUUUUAUUAAAAUAUUUUUCAUUACGAUUUAUAAUAAUAAUUGUGACAAUAGAUUAAAGAUUAUGAAAUUUGAAUUCCAUCAUCAAUAUUUUUUAUUUAUUUUUUUUAUAUAAAAAAAGCAUGUGUCCCUUGACUUAUAUACUUAUAUUAUUAAAUAAAAAUUAAAAAAUAAUUAAUUACAGUUAUUUUAUCAACUUAUAUGUUUCAUAUUUCACUAUGAUUGAUAUUAACAACUAUGGUGAAAUUCUUUAUUGCAAAAUUAAAAUAUAACAUGUUCUUCAUUUUCUUCAUAACACAUGUCCUAACGAUCCAGACGACAGCGACAACAAAAUCUUCAGCAUCUUCAUUUAUUUGGAACAUCCAGUCUUCACUCUCUUCAUUCAUUAUUGAUUGAUCCCUCGUAAGAAUUCACAUCCUAGAUCCAAAAUAUUUCAAGGAAUGUUAAUUCUUCAAAAGCUUAGAAGAACUCAACCUAUCCACCUUCCUCUGUAUCCCCUCCAAGAAGGUAUGUUCAUCCUUAGUCAAGAUGUUCUACUCAAAUCUUCACAUCAUAGAUGGAAUACCUUAAAUUGAAGUAAAGAAGGCAUAUAAUAACUCUAUCAGUAGAAGAAUUUGGAAAUAUUCUAAAUAUCCAUAAUGAAGAUCCCAUUGUCGAACUCGGAGACAAAGCAGAAAAGUACAACCACCAGCUCACUGCAUCCUCUGUUAUGAAGGAUCCAUCACCCAACAUGCCAAAUCCCUUCACUGCUGGAUAUAUCCACCUUGAAAGUCAUAUGAUUCACUAUGUGAUCAAUCUCAUACUCUUUUCAAGAAAAAGCAACUUCAUCCUCAUAACCCAAGUUGAUGUAGAAACAAUAUCGUUAAUAGAACACAAAAUCAAGGUGAAAUUGGCAAAACACAUGAACGAGUAAAUGAUGGAAAACAUGAAAGAAGGAGUAUAACUGCCAUAUGAAAAUCUGAUCACAAAGAUUUUGAAAGAUACUGGAUAUGAUUUCAAAGAUGAAGAGUUCAAGGAAGAAAGAACUAAAAUAGGAUAAUUAGUCCUACCAUCAAUGAAGUUUGAGAUGAUCAAUGGAAAAGUAAUUGAAAAUCCCCUCUCAAACAAGAAGAAAAUAAAAGCAAAUAGUCAAGAAGCACCCAUAGAGUUAGAUGACUUCGACUACUCUAUUCCUCAACUGCCCAUAAUAAUAAUAUCCUCAAAUUCAUAAUUGGAAAGAUAAUUGUGAUUAAUGACAAAAUUGACUUUCAUAACCCAACCAUUUAUCCCAGACCAAGCACAACUACCUAAAGGCCUUUUUCUUUGAUGAUUUUAACACAUAAUAGUCUCACUUAUGCGUUUGAACUCAUGCUCUCUAUAACUCUUAAAUUCAACAAUUUCUUUUCUUGUACUCUGAAUUCAUAGUAAUUUCUAUUAACAAAACAAGUUUUUCCUUUACUAAAUGUUUAUUUACCUAUGUUUUUAUAUUUAAAUUCAUCUUAGUGUAUAUUUAUCUGUCUUUUUUAUUUCUACAAAGGGGAAGAAGUGUACUCUCAGGGGGAGUAGAGUAUACUCUUUACCUAAUUGAGGGGGAGUUUGAUUACUCCAAAUAUUUAUUGUUGUUUAUAUUACACUACGCCAAAAACUGGAAUAGACAGCGCACCUUAGAGGGCGCUUUAUUACAAAAGCGCACUCUAAAGUGAAGCGAAAAAAUAAGGAGCGAACAAUUGGAAUAGACAGCGCACUUUAGAGGCGCUUUUUGUAAUCAAAGCGCCUCUCAGAGAGUGAAGCGAAAAAAAAUAAGAGAGGCAGAUAGAGGGAAACCAAUACAAGGCGCUUUUUAAAACGCCUCUAAGGUUACCCUUAGAGGGCGCGUUGUUGAAAAAGCGCUCUACUACAGUCCAUGUUGCAUUUCCAGUUUAAUAAAGCGCACUUAUUCGAAAGCCUUAGAGAGCGCUUUCAUAACGCGCCCCUUAGGCCCCUUAUUAGAGGCCUUUUUUUUCCACAAGCUCACUCUAAGGUCCCUUUAGUAAAACAUAAAAUAUAACAUUACUGCCGCCUCUGUUGUUACAUUCACACUCUCUGUUAUUUUCGUGUAAUAUCCUUUUCAACGUUAGCGUCUUUCAACUGCUACUAUAUUCGCUACUUUCUAAGGCGUUCUCCUUCCAGAAUAAGAAAUAAAGUUCCUCUGUUAGAUUCUACCGACGUUUCCUCCCUUCUUUUAAUCGUUGUUAGCUGUUCGUCUUUGACACAUAAAGGUUUUUCCUGUUCUUUCGGAUUUAGACGCUAUUUUCGAGUGAUGUAGCAAUUUUGGAUCCGGGUGUUGUUCAGGUUCGCCCGAAAGGAAACUCAAUUUGUAACGUUCCAGAAAUUAUAGACAUACUGGAAAAAUUUAUGUCAUUUAGGUUCUUGCUCGAUUUUAACUUGUGGUAGAGACAAUCUGGUCGCACUUUUACUUAUUGUGAGUCUGGCUUUUUUCGAUUAAUUUUGCAUUCACUUACUAUUUGUUGGGGGUAAUAAGAAUUAAUCCCUACUCCUUGCGGUUUUCUUCAUCUGGCAAUGGCUUUGGUCUUUUUGGUUGUUUCGAUAUCAUUUCUACUUGAAGGUAAUAAUAAUUUUUUGUUUGUUAUAUUUUUUGAACAUUUUUUUUUGUUUAUUUUUAUAUAUACAUAAAUCAUUAACUAGAUAUUACACAUGCAUUCAGCAUAAAUGUUCAGAACCAAUUUUUGUAACACAGAUUCACAGGAUUAUAUUAAUCAGUAAAUUCUUCUUUAUAUUUUGGUUUUUAUAUGGAUAAUAUAUUUAUGUUGACUUGCUCCAGGAUAUAUAUCACCCCAGAUUCUGAUGUUAUAUGCGACAUUGAGCCUCGUUCCGGUGCUGCGAAGCUUUGUGUUGUAAACAUACUAACUUUAAUUACACAAAUGGAUCGUUCUAUUGUUUGUUUCCCUAUAUUCAUUAUUAUAAAACUUUCAAUUCUUUCAGGUCAGGUUAUGCAUUCUCUCUGGGAUUAGGAGCAAUGCCAUGGAUAUAAAGUCUGAGGUACAAUUUUCUUCAAAUAAAAUAUGCAUCGACAACGCCUAAUGAACAAAACCUUGUGUAAUAUAAUGUGAUAGUUGAUGUGUUAAUAUAAUUUUACAUAUAUAGAUUCUUCCGAUUAACAUCAAAGGCCUAGCUGGAAGUUUGCAAACACUUGCCAAUGGUUCUUAUUCCUGGCUUGGUUACAUUAACACGCAAAUUUGCUCUUGGAUUGGACUUCGGGAGGUUUGUGUGCAUUGCCUAUGUUAAUUUUCUAUAAAUAUCAUUGUUUCUAACCAGAAGCUUCCUAUGUUUCAUCAGGAACCUUCACGAUAUAUACUAUCAGUGUGUGUUUUCACAGCAGGAUUUGUUGCCAUUUGGGUCCCCGAGACAAAGGGAAAAAACUCUUGAAGAAAUACAACAGUUUUUCAGAUGAAGUUUCCUUUCGAGUAGCACUCAGCUAGUGUUCACUCAUGUAUCUCACAUUCAUAUUUUUUCUGAAUCAAACUCAAUUCAUUUUUGUGCUCUUUGGUCUUGUUAAACAUAUGAAAAAUACCAAACAGUGUGAUUUUCUAAUCUAGCAGCAUACUUGCAUUUUGUUGUUGAAUUGAUUGAUUAUAAACAAAUAAAUGAAAGAGAAGUGGUUAUUAUACAUUUCAAUUACGAGUAGCAGUGGUUUCGGUUCAUGACAUUUCAAAUAGCAAGAGGAUCAUAUAAUACAAUAAGCAUUAUCAGUAUUUGUAUUUUAAUAUUAUAAAAGCAUAAAAAGAACCUUUAGUUUGCACUUUAUAUACACCAGCAUGUAUGCCAUUUGUGCACGGCUCUCUGUGUGCUGCAACAAAACCUGAAGUGAAUAUGGCACAGAGACAUGUGAAUGCAUGUAAAUUUAAUAAUCCACCCCAACUUUAGAGGGCGCUUCCAAAUAAGCGCCCUCUAACCCUUUAAAUUUCCACUUUAGAGGGCGCUUUCCAGUAAAAGCGCCCUAAACCCUUAAAGGUUUCCACUUUAGAGGGCGCUUUCCAGUAAAGUGCCCUCUAAGCUUAAAGUUCCACUUUAGAGGCGGCUUUCUUUAAAAAGCGCCCUCUAAAGUGGCCCUUAAAGGGCUUAAAGAGCCCACCUUUAGAGACGCUUUCCAGACCAAAGAAAAAAAGCGCUGUCUUUACCUAUGCCAGCGCCAGAUUAGAGGGCGCUUUAAAGCGCUGUUAUAGGCCAAAAAAAGCGCCCUCUUUUCCCUUAUUUGGCGUAGUGUUACCACAUCUAUGAGAGAUGAGUUGUCAUCAUAAAAAGGGGAAUAAAGCAAAACCUUAUUUUGCAAUUCAUAGAGCACGAUUUUGAUGAUGACAACUAUUAAAGAUGUUCAUGUCUUGGAUAGUGAUAACAACUAAAGUCAAGCAUAAAGCAGUUAAACGGUUAAAAAUGCAAACCAGGAUAUUUGGGUUUGAUGAGACUUGACUAUCUGAUGAUGGCAACCAAAAGAUAUAUAUUUCGAACCUCAUAUUGAAGUGAACUCAAGCAAGUAUCUACAAGAAAGAAAGCAUUUGACAAUUCUUGUAGUACAAAAAAUACCUGUCUCGAUUGUCUGAGUUAAUACUUUGUAAAGCAUGAAAGAAUUCUUGUAAAAUUGUAUGGAUAAAUCACACACACACGAAAAUAUUUUUGAAACUAGAACUGUUUUUCAAAAAUAUCUUGAAUUUGUGCCAAAUUAGUUAUAAGUUAUUUGAAAAGCUAUGAAGGAUUUUUUGUCUUUGCAAAUUGAUUGGCACAUUGACCCAAUCGAUUGGGUCAGUUCAAAAAUGUGCCCUAAACAAUUACGGCAACAUCUUAAUGAGUUGUAACGGAUAAACAUAUUUUAUUUACAUUUUUAACUUGGUAAUUGAUUAAUUUGGAGGCUACCAAUCGAUUGGUAUAUGCUACCAAUCAGUUGGCAAGUCAUAAAUUGGCCUUAAAAUAACUUCCUUUUUGAGCCAACCUAUAGUCAAUAGAUAGAGGUACCUUUACCAUAUUCCAAAUCAUCUAGAAACGUGUUUCAUUUCACAAUUCUCACUUUCUCUAUAAACGUUUCUUUUGUUUACUUUCCCUCACUAAGAAUUUAGCCGAAGUGUUUUUCGAGAAAGUCUUUUUGCGAGUGAGGAAGUUGUAAUUCUGGAAGGAUACAAUUUUAAGUUCACCAAGGAACUUUUUUUUAUACCUUGGUUGAAAAUUUUAUCCUAUUAUGGAUUAUUUUUUUAGGCUCGAAGCUAAACCCGUAAAAAGAUUAGGUUUGGGAUUUGUGUGAUCAAGUCUCUUGCUUAUCUUCUAGAUCAACCCGGUGACAUAAUCUCAUAUAUUUUUGGUUAGACCGUGAUAAAACCAAGAUUAGGUUAAAACAUAGUCCUAUAUUAAAAUCUUGUUUCGGUUUGAGAUCAACUCGAUGGUAAAAUCUCAUAGGUUAUUUGUUAGCCCAUUAUAAAGUCAAUGUUUAGGUUCGAGAGCUCAUCUUGGUGUUAAAAGCUCCUAAAGUUUAUUUGAAGCUUGAAGACUAAGCACUCCAAGAUUCUUAUGGAAAGGAGACUAACCACUUAGAUCCUCUGUUUGGAAGGAAGACUCACCGCUUCGCUUCAUAGUUUGUUGUUUGGUUGGAAGUUAGCCAUAAACUUCUUUUUUCCUUGUAUAAGGGGGUUCGAGAGUUUAAACUACUAAAACUCUUAAGUUUAUUGGAUAAUCUCAAGAAUAAUUCUUGGGGAGAGGAUUAGGUAUUUUUCUCUUUUGACGGAACCUCUAUAAUUUCCAGUGUCUUCUCUUUUCCCUUAACUCUUUAAUGUACACACUUUAGUUUCUGAAAGUUUAUUUUUUCCACUACAUAACUUUAGAGUUUUUCUAAAAAUAUUUUCUAACUCGGAUUUUAAUUCUAAUUUUUUUCAAAACUAUGUUUUUUUGAAACAAAUCAUUCACCCCCUCUUGUGUACGAAGUCACAUGUCCAACACAACUGACACAAGACACGCCGAAAGGCAUCCUUUUUAAGAGGAUCCUCAUAAAAAACUUCCUCUAGUUGAGCAUCUAACGUAACCUGUUUCUCCUGAAGAUUUUAUACUCCUUUCACAAGACUUUCCUCUCAUUCUGCCAACGCUUUUAUUGUACACUGAAGAACAACAAAUUCAAUCUCCGCCUCGAGCUUACUCUGAUAGACGUCAUCCUCCAUCUUCUUAAGUUGGUUCUUGAGGUCAUUCAUUUGCCUAACUAAUUUAGUCGGAGAUCCAUGAAGAUGAUCUUUUUCAGAAAGGAGGGAUGACCGCCCUAGACGACCCUACUUCUCUAGAGAAUCCUUUUAAUCCCAACCUUCUUUACCUCACUAGGGUUAUAACGAGUCCUCAAUGAUGUAACCUCCCGGGAUAAAAAAACAGAUGCAAAAAAUGUUUCAAGACCGACAACUAACUGAUUAAAGAGUGGUACCGUUCUCAUCACAUUGGUGGCUAUCUUCUUUACCAGGUCAAACCUACCAGAAGGGGGGAGUGGACUAACGUAGGCGUAAUCCCUUGCAGGCACAAAAUUGUUUAUCCCGUCUAUUGAUUGAAGAAAAUGACUAUCCAACAUUGAAGGUAGUCGAAGAGAAGCAUUUCCUUCCCUUUUAAUAUGAUCAACUACAGGAGCAACUUUCACUCCCCUCGACCUCUUUACUCGAUCUUGGCCAGCGACAAAUGAAUUGGUCAUGUCAUGCUUCUUCUUAGAUUGACAUUCCGAAUGAGGCAAAAAAAACAGAGGGACCCCGAGUUCCAGUAUAAUUAUGUUCCCAAUAACAUGACCUUUCUUGAACCUAUAUGAAAAAGUAAGAAAGAUCAACGAAUGAGAACUAAAUAAGUCCAUGUAUCCACGAAGAAAAAAGAUAUAAAAUGAAUUACCAAACACUCCUUUCCGUCCUUCCACAAAACUAGCUUUUUCCACUUUCAUACAGUGUAACAUCUCAUUAGAAAACAAGAGCAAAAUCGCUUUCAUAUCCCCCAUCAACCUGGUUUAGAGCUUCAAAGGAACCUAGUAAUAUUUAGGACCUUUAGAGAAAUGGUCAGGUUACCAGAAUCGUCACCUUCGGUCUGUGUAUUUAACUUGUCCAAUAGAAGGGGGAGAGACAACACAAAAUUCCUCGUGAGAAAGAGGAUAAAGGAAGUAAUCGUUCUUGAAAUACUUCCAUCUGUCGAUGUAGAUCUUGAAGAUCCAAUUCUUAAUAGAACAUAGAGAAACAAGCCCAUGACCAAUGACAUCCUUUGGGACAUGAUUUACCUCAAAGAGAUGCAAAAUAGGUCUCGAGAAGCUGGAGCCAUUUUCUAUGGUAUUCAUACAAAUACUAGAAUACUCUAACAAAACUCCAAGCACAUGGAUGAAGUUACGAAUGGUGAAUGCAUAGAUGGUCCAGAAAAUGAAGGAUUAAAAGGGGAUAACGCACCCUUCAAACUUGUGGCAUAUCCUUUUCUCAGAUGAAAUUGAAAAAAUAUCCCAAUCGGAGGAAACCCCUAUUUCCAAAAAAGCAGGGCAUAUUUCUUCCCCUUGAACGAAAAUAGAUUCGUAGGCUAAAUAGGUUGACUCGACCCAAGAGUAAUCUUCUACCGCUAUCACUUCCAUCAAAUUGGUUAGGUAAGCAAAUAUCUAAGUUUACAAAAUGAAACAGGUUAAUACGAUGAUGAUGGACGAAUAGGUAACGACAACAGAAAAGAGGAAAACUUGAGAACAAUGUCUAGCUUUUGUAAGAAGGGAUAAUACAAGGAUUGAUAGUUCAGAUUGAACAACAGGAGAAAAUAUGAGGGUAAUCAAUAUAUUGUCCCAUGAAUCCAAACGAUGACAAAAAAAACUUAAGUACCCUUUGUAGGGCAAUCGAUCCCUAACCUACACGCGUAGGGCGACGUGUUGGCAAGAAGAAGUGAAAAUGGCCCAUUGAUAAGAAAGCAUUAAAUGCGCUUGUCCCGUACUAUUUAUGCGACAAACUCUAAAUGUUUCAAUUUUGGAACAACAAAUAUGAAUUCUCAGAAAACCGACUCCAGUCACUAAAGACUCCUCAGUAUCCAAGGUACCCGGUAAGUCUUGGGGGCAACUGUUCUGCACCGGCCAAAAGACCCAUAAUAGCAAAGUCCGUAUUGGUUCACGCUGCUCAACCCAAGGUAUAAAUACCCUUCCACACCAAUUUCAAUUGCAUUCUCUAAUUUCUAGUAUUCACUACACUCAUCUUUAAUCUUAAACUGACUUCGAUGUUAGAAUGCUAUUCACCCCGCACCAUCGUAAAAGAGAUCAAUACCAUAGUUUAAGACCACCAAUUCUUCAACUAUAUUCAUUUCAGAUUCAUGAAGUGAACAACUAUAAUUAGAACUAAAAAGAUUAAAAUCAUUCCGCCCAAAAAUGAUCAUUACCAAUAAUUCUAAAUCCUAAGUGUUAAGUCCUAAUUCUACCUUUAUAAAUAUUUUAAUCAAUCCAAAAUUCUUCCACCCAAAUUAAUCAUUAUCUUAGAUGAUUAACAAAUUUAGCAAAUUUGAUAUGUAAACGGUCCUCAACAGAACCAUACUUUUAAUUAUCCAAAUUCACUCUUAGACUAAGAUUUCUUUUCUGUUUUUUUUUUCUAUCAUCUCCUAUUUGACUUUGUUUUUUAAUGAACAAGAAGAAAUAAAAUUAAUUAUUGGGUCUCCAAUGUUUAACCAAUUUCAAAUUUGCGUACCUAGACAUGUUUUUUUCUUCUUCUUAUGAAAUGGUUUGGGAUCACGUCACAUCUAGUAGUUUAGUGUUACGAUCAUGGAGUCCCAAAUCAUGUUAAAGUAAUGCUUGUUUUAUUUUUUAUUACUUUGUUACAAAUUAUGUUAUGGCCAUAUCUCUACAUAGUCUUGUCACUAAUCAUGUGGUAAAAGAAUGAUUAUGAAAUGAGAAAUUCAUAUUUUCUUCUUUAAAAAAAACACUAUAGCCAAUUGAGAGAAAAUAAUGUAGAUACUUUUUACCUUUUAGAUCUUCAUUCACACACAAAAAAUAGACUUUGGAUCAUCGACUCUAAUAAUAUACAUCAUAAUAUGUUGUACCAACAAUCCUUUCAUUCAAAUAACACACAAUAAUGUAUUCCAUUUAUCAUAUGCAGAGAUUUAUGAUUCAAGCUUUUAGCUACACUUUACACAAGAAAACCAAACACAAACCAACCACAAUUCUCAUAACCUUUCAACAAAAUCAAAUAUUUCAAUCUGCUGAAGAGAGAUCCAUGACCACAUUAAUUAUAUUAUUCUAAAAAACCAAACACACAUGUGUACUCAUACACACAAUUAAACAUAAUGGUUUCAAUAUCUCUGCUUCAAGCUUUUAUAUGUUACACUUCAUUUGCAGUUGCAAGGGUCACAAGUGCAGUUAUCACCACACUUGCAGCCACCAUCCUCAGAAGCAGCACUCAUUUCAGCACCUUCAAACUGGAUCUUCGCCGGACCGACGCCAAGAAUCACGGUUUCGGUGGUUUCCAUUUCGGAGUAGCUCAAUCCACUAGACCUCUUGUUGCAUCUGUCAAGCAAAACAAAUCAAUUAUAAACUUGGUUGUCAAAAUAAAGGUUUUCGAAAGACGUUACACGAAAAAGGUUUUCAAAUCGAUAUCGAUAUGUUAUUCAACGUUUUUAUGAUAAAGAAGAAAUUGUGAUUAAUUCACACCGCAACGACGACAAUCACGAAAAUCUUUACCCGACUGCAAUCGCACCUAAACCAACCGAAAUUAGAAAACUCUUUACACGAUUGCAAUCAACACUUAAACCAACCGAAAUCAGAAAAGCCUUUACGCGACUACAAUCGACACUUAAACUAUCGCGACAGCACGAUCCUUAUUUUAAACCUCAAAAUUAUGCGUUUACACAUAAAAUUGCCCAAUUUCACUACACAAAAUGAUUUAACAUAGAAUUAUGAACCAUAUUCAUAGUCUUAGAAUUUAGAUUCAGCCUAAUUCAUUUAUAAAAAACAAUCCGUCUAUAUUAAAUUUAUUUUUCUCAUGCUCAGAUCAUAUAUUAUUCGAUGCGAUAAAACUAAACAAAUUAUUUAAAAAAAUCUCCAAAGAAUCAUCUAUAUGAUUAAAAAUAGACAUACAAAUAAUUGUAAUGAAAAAAUUAUACAGAAAAACAACAAAGAAUUAAGGUGGUGGAUCCUUACUUGCAGCUAUCACCACAGUUGCAACUGCUUCCACAACCACAUCCAGACAUAUUUUCAGAACCUAAGAUUUUUUGCAAACAACAAUUGAUAUUAAUUGCUUGGUUGCUGUUAUCUUCACUACAAUUGAUGUCUUUUAAUGAUGUUGCGUGCCCCAAUUUAUAAGGUGGGAGAGAAUAAUUGGUGAAAUCUUGACCGUCCACGUGUUGUCAUCCUGUGUUGCAUGGGUCCACAAGGCCACCCUUGGAUUAUUUCCACGUAGAUAUCGUUUUCAUCACACGUCUUAUUGUGGUGUGCAAAUUGCAAUGGCGAUUAAAUUUUAAUUUGUUGCAUGCUUAAUCCAAUCUAAGUCAAAUGUAGGUUGAUUACGUCGCUUUCGUUUGGAAAAGUUAAAUGCUUCACUCCUCUAUUUCUCCGCUAAUGGAUGAUUACUUGUUUCAAUAAAUAAUAAAAUAUACUUUAAUAAAAAUGAUGGAUAAUGACGAAGGACUUUUUUUUAGAAACUUUUUAUUUCAAAAUGGUAUUUAAUAAUGUCACGGGAUAAUUUAUUUUUGAUUAAUUAAAAAAUUGAAAUCCAAGACUAUAGUUGUCUUCAUAGGAAUCCAAUAGAUGAAAAUGGAAAUCCUCCGGGAGUACAUAUAACGCUUCACCAAAGUAGGAUCAAUAUAUGAUAAGCUGCAAUGUUGGAUGUUCCAAAAAGGGUUAAGGGAAGACUAUAUGUUUCACGGAAAUUUAGGGCUAGAAGAAGGAAAGGGUAUGAGUGACUUUCUUACUAGGGUCAAUUCUUACAUUAAUUAUGAAAGGAAACUCUAAGCUGAAGAAUUAGAAAAUGUUUGAAGAACAAGAAACUUGGUUCAUAGUCGACCAACAGAGAGGGACGUUAACCAAUGUCGGGACAAAGGAAAUAAAGGUUGUAAAAGCAUAUUAGUGGAACUUUGUGCUUGCAUGUUCAAUAAGGAUGUAAUCAAAAGCUAAGCAAGUUAUGUCUAUCAUUGUAUGGUUUUGAUUAUGACAACUUAUAAAGAUGAAACCUAGCCUUGAUGAGACUUUAAUGAAAAGAGAAAUGCUAUGCUAACACUUAAUUGUAACACCGUAGCCGUUUACACCGUAGCUUCAAGCAUUAGUUUAGAAUUGAUACAAAUUUCAAUGCAUUGGAUAAUAAUAUAAUAAAGGAAAAUAUGGAUUGUGCCAUAUAUAAAUACGGUUGUAGAUGUAAAAAUACGUGGGGUUAUUUUAGCAUUUGUGUAAUGAAAACUUGUGAAGAUACAAUAUCACCUUAAAGCAUAAAGACAAGUAAGAAUGUUAAGCCAUAAAGAAUAUACAAGAUAGUUUGUUUAAGCUCUUCCUCUGAAUAAAGAUGAAGUGUUAAGGUUAAUAAUCAUAAUAUCCUCUGAUGAUGGCGUUCAAAUUGAAGAUAUCUCAAGUCUCAUCUCCAGGAAUACUCAAGCAAGUUCUUAUAUGAUUGUUGUAUUUGAAAAAGUAUUGGAACUUCAAGUUAUGAAAGAGAGGAAGUGUGAAUGCUUGCUUGAUUGUGUCUUAAUGAUUAUUGUUUUAUUAAAAAAAACAAGGGAGUUUUUGUAAAGUACUAUGGCUAAAUCACACACUCACUAAAAAAAAUUUAAAUCCUCCAUUUAUCAGGAAAAUGACCUAAAAAUGUUUUGGAGCCUAGCUAGAUGAAUUGGAAACUAUCUGAAUGAUUAGGACAUGUAUUUUGAAUUGCCCAAUUAAUUAGAGCAUAUUCCCAAUCGAUUGGAUAGGAGAAAAUUGGGUCCAUAAUCGAUUGUGACAAUGUAUUAAUGAAGGGUAGCGACAAUAUAUCAAAAUCUUAAAAAAAUGAACAUUUAUAAUUGAUUAUUUAGGUCAUCAAAUCGAUUGGAAUUAUGACUUAAUCUAUUGGACCAUUAAUUUGGCCAAUGAAUCCUUUAUUUUUUGUACCAACCUUUAGCCUAUAAAUAGAGGUUUCUCCUUUCAAUUUUUCACAUCCAAAAAGAUAAUUAUUCUCACUCCCCUCACUCUCAAUCUCUACAAUAUUUUUUCUCUUUCUCUCACAUCAACUUAGACAUAACGCUUUGAGAAAUGUUCUUGUGUUUAAGUGAGUAAUUUGUUCUGGAAAGGGUAAUAUUGUAAAUUCACCAAGAGUUCUUUUUCCUCUUAAGUGAAUAUCUCUCUCUUAGAUAGUGUUUGUUUGAGUUCAAAGCUAAACCCAUUAAAAUAUUAGUUUGGGGGAUUUAGUAUUAAGUUGUUGUUUAGUUCGAGAGCUAAGCCACUUAAGAAAAAGCUCUCUUUCAGGGCUCUUGAAGAUAAUCGGUGAAAAAUAUUCCCUUCGGUUAUUGAGUUCAGUUCGAUGUAAAAGCUCUACGUGGUUCGAUAUCAUCCUGAUAUAAAACCUUGGUUUGGUUCAUGUUCAUCCCGUGUAAAACCUUGUUUCGGUUUAGAGGAAAUCCAGUUCAAAACUCCACAUUGGUUCUAUAUAAGUCUGUAUAAAAUCUCUGUUUAUCUUGGGGACUAACCACUCGAAACUUUGUUCAUGUUUGGAAGAAAGACUAACAACUUCAGUCAAUUGCUCGAUGUUUGAUUGGAAGUUAACUUGAAACUUCAUUUUCCUUGUAUAAGGGGGUUCAUUAGCUUAAUCUACUAAAAGAUCAUAAGAAUCAUUGGAUACUCUCAAGAUCAAGUAUUGGGAAUAGAAUUAGGUCAGUUCAUUUAGACCGAACCUCUAUAAAUCGUGAUGUCAUCUCUUUCCCAUAUCUCUUUACUUUUUGCAUAUUUUAUUUUCUCGAUUUUUAAAUGUUUUCUUGAAAAAUAUUUUUGAACUCUGAUUUAGAAAAAAAAUUAUUUUAACUAUCAGUUUUCAAACCCCCACAAUUCACCUCCCCCUCUUAUGUAUGGAGUCACAUGUUCAACAAGUGGCAUCAGAGCCUAAAUCCUAUUCAAAGACUAAUUAGGAGGAGGAUGAAUUGCAACACUAUUUCUAACGAGAUCUUUCUUAAACCACCUUCACCGUUUAAUGGUGAUAGAUUUGAACUAUGAAAAAUUAUAUUUAAAAUAUUAAUUCAAAGUUUUGAUUUUAAAUUGUGGGAAAUAAUAAUCAACGACCCAUUUAUCCCUACUCACCACAUAAGUGGAGAAGUAGUAGAUAAACACAAUUUUCUUUGGAGCAUAGAGUAAAAUAGAAAGUUAAAAAUUGAUUUCAAAACUAAAGUUUUUUAGUUAUGUCUUUAGAGGAUAAUAAAUUAUUUUAUGUUCUUAAUUGCAAAUCUUCCAAGGAAUACUCUUGAGAUGAUAUAUAGAGUUUCUCCAAGUAUCGAAAAAGAGAAAAGGAACACAUGAGGCGAAUAAGAUAAAUACUCUAUUCAUAAGUGCCUCUCCAAAUUUAGAAAUGCUAUAAAUAAUGUUAGAAUAUUUGUUAAUAAUAAAUAUGUAAGAGUUAAGAAUUGGAAUCAGAAAUAUGAUCCAAUCUUUAAAUCAAGAGAUGGAAGUGUUUAUGAAUUCCAAGAAAAAUUGAAGAAGGAAGAAAUUGUAGAGAAGUUGAAAGAAUUAGUUAAAUUACUUUAAAGAUGAAGGAAUAAGCUCAAAACUUGAUGAAUCCUCAACAACUUCAUCAAACUCCUACAAGAUAACUCAUGUCGUUUCCUUAGAAAGAACAUAUUCAUUAGUUGAACGAUCUUCGGAGAAUUCAUUUUAAGAGGAUAUGAAGAAGGAAAAGCCUUAUCUAGUUGAGUCUUUGAGAGAAGAAGAGAGAAUAAAGCCUAAAAAAAUGAUGAAGAUUCAACCUCAGGAAGAUUCUUCAAAGAAUAUUCUUCCAAUAAAGAAGAUGAAGUAUGCUUGAAAGUAUCUCAUGAAGAAGAUGACCAUGAGGUAACAAAGCUAUCUUACAAGCAGUUGUUUAGAUUAAGUGCUAAGUUAAUUGAGGAAAAUGAUAACAUUAAAAAUCAUAACUUAGAUCUUAAGGAUUAUAUUGAGUUUCUAGAAAAUAUAAAUGAAAUGAUUAAGUUCGAAAUAGAUAAUAUUAGAAACUCAACUGGAACAUGUGAGAUUGUGUCUCGAUGAAAAAAAAAGCAACAAACUUGCCUAAAACCUUAAGUAAAUUUAAUAGAGGGAAGUAAAACUUUGAUUUGAUUCUAUCAAGUCAAGAACUUUGUUUAAAUAAAACUACAUUUUGGUUUAAAUCCAAUAGAGCACAUAAUACAAAAUUAAAUAGGUAGAAAGUGAAUAGAACUAUUUAUAAAUUCUCUCAUUGUAAUAGAUUUGGCCACUUAGAACCUUUUUGUUUUGAUAAAUUGAAAAUGUCUAAAGGUAGUAACCCUAGACCUUAUAAAGCAGCUAACACAUCAGGACCCAAGAAAUAUUGGGUGAUAAAGGUGACAUCCUAAUGUAUUUUUGCAAGGAUGCUUUGCAGAUUUUAUUAAGCCUUAGCGCAUAUUAAAUAAAGUUGUGCAAAGAAAGGAGUUUACUCUCGAGUAUACGAUAGUUUUAGUUUAAAGUCUUUGAUCCAAGGAUGCUUGAGGAUGAUCUUAACGUCUCUAAAUUAUGAUGAUCUGCUAACCUCUUACUAGGUUGAGAAGAUAAGUUUGUGGUGGACAUAUCUAUAUCACAUUUUUAACCAACUCUCAAUCCAAAGAUCUGUAGAGAAGGGAAUGUCACAUUACGUUGGUAUUCCCUUGAAAGGGGGAAUUUUUUUCUCUCAAGGUUACUUGGUAACCAAGGUAGUACACUAUAUUAAAGGUUGAAUGAUUGAAAACUCUGAUUAAUCCUUUAAAAAAAGCGUUUAAUCUUUACUCAUCAAUUUAAAAUAUUUUUGCUAACCAAAUAGUUGAGUUUUCUAGUGUUUUCUACAAAAGGAUACAAAUAAGCUGGCCAGGGGUGCAAAAAAUGAGAAAGCCAAAGCAGAAUAUAACACAAGGACCAAAAAGCACCAAGAAGGAUGAAUUGAAAAGCCUAAUUGAUUAGGGAUAUAAUCCAAUCGGCUGGAUCACAUUGGAGAUUCAAAUUUCAAAUCAAAUAUGAUAGAAGUUCGUCUCCAAGUCAAUCUAAUUCGUACAUUAAGGAAAAUUGCACAAGAUCCUUGAGAAUUUUAUGACCCAAUAAAUUGGAGCCUUAACCAAAUCAAUUGGACAAUCAAUUUUGGGAAUAUUCGAUUCUAAUUUUUAUUGGGCAUAAUCUCCAUUGAUUUUCUUGAAGGUUUACAUGCCCAAAAUCACCAUAAGCUCUACUAUAAAUAGGUAACCCUUUCUUAUUCUAUUACAUCACAUAUUUUCUUUCUCUCUAAUUGUAUGUAAUAUUAUUCCUUUAAAUACUCCAUCAUCAUCACCAUAUCUCCUAGGAGGCUGAGAUUUUCCUCUAUCCCUCUCACCGAUGAUUUCACAUCUCAACAACAAGAAGGAAAAUUCUUCUAAGACUUCGCAAACAGAUCCAUCUUGAGAAUUCACACUUUGGAUUCUGAUGUAUUUAAGGAAUUUGAAUUCUUAAAGAUCUUUGAAGAGUUAAAAUCAUCCACAUUCCUCUAUAGCCCCUAAGAAAGGUGUAUCCACCAUUGGUCAAGAUAUUCUUCUCAAAUAUCAACUUUACUGAUGGAAUAAUUUACUUCAAAGUAAGAAGACACAAUAUGUCUCUAUCAUUUGAAGAAUUUGCAAGCAUCUUGAAUCUUCUCAAUGAAGAUCUUAUCUUCAAGCCAUAAGAACAAGGAGAUAACUUCAACUUCAAGACUGACGCAUCCUCGCUUAUGAAAAUAUCAUCAUCCCUGGUGCUAUCUCCUUUCACUGUAGGAUCUAUAAACCCUAACAUUUGUUUGAUCCAUUAUGUUUCCAAUCACAUAUUAUUUCUAUGGAAAAUCAAAUUGGUCUUAUAUCUAGGUUUGAUCUUCAAAACUUCUGGAUGAUGGCAAACAAAAUCAAAACAAACUAGGAAAAUGAAGUAAUCUAAUACAUGUUGGGAAGAAAGAGAAAAGGAAUGUUCCUACCAUAUGGUGAGCUGGUAAAAAAAAUCUUGGAACACGCCUAAUUCAACUUUGGGAAUGAAGAAUUUGAAGAAGAUGUGACAAAAUAGGAUAAACGACUCUAACAACAAUGAAGUAUGAAAUCAUUAAUGUAAAAUUAAAUGAAAACCCUUUCAAAGGAAAUAAUAAAAGGACAAAAGAUCAAUAAGCGCCUGUGAACCUAGAAGAUUUCGACUAUGACACCCAUGUAUGCCUUCUACUAAAGAUCUACUAAGGAAAUAAUUAAAAUAUGAAAGAGGACAAAUGAUAAAAUCAACUCAUGGCCUUUAACUUUGCUCAAGACAUAAACCAGAGAUGAUGAGUUAUGAUGAUCAAGAUAGUGAAGACUAGUCUCACCUAUGUGUUUUAAUAUAUAAGUGUGUUUGCAUUUCAGUUUUUGCAUUGUUUCAAUUUCAGAAUUUCCCUGCUUUCUGUACUUAGAAUUCCAGUAUAAUUUGAAUCAAUGAAGUGUGUUAUUCUAAAUUCUUAUGUGACUAGCAUAUUUAUAUUCCCGCCUUACAUCUUUACAUGCCUUUUUGGUUAUAACAAAGGGGGAAACAUAUACUCUCUACUCAUUUCAGGGGAUGUUUAAAUACUCCAUUAUUAUCUAACUGUUGUUUCUUUUACCACCUCCCUAAGAGACACAUUAUUAUCAUAAAAAAGGGGAGAAUAUGGAACUAUGUGCUUGAAGAUUCAAUAAGGAAGUAAUCAUAGCUAAGGAAGUCAUGCCUAUUAUGGUUUAGUCUUGAUGAUGACAACAUGCGAAGAUGCAAGGAAACCUUUAUGAGACUUUAAUGACAACUCGUGGGGAUAUAAUCUGACCUUAAAGCACAAAAAUAAGUAAGUAUUUCAAGGAGUCAAAAAUGAACAAGAUUGUUUGUUCAAGCUCUUCCUCUUAAUAAAGUCAAAGAGUUAGGGUUUAAUGAUCACCAUAAUAUCUUCUAAUGAUGGCGUAUAACUUAAAUACAUCUUAAGCCUCAUUUCCAAUAAAACUCAAGCAAGUUCUUAUAUGAUUGGUGUAUUUGGCAGAGUCUAGAAGCUUCAAAGUGUGAAAGACAGGAAGUGUGAAAGCUCGUUUGGCAGUGUCUGAGUGAUGCGUGUUUUAUAAAAACACAAGGGCAUUUUGGUAAGUAAUAUGGAUAAAUCACACACUAACUAAAAUUAUUUUUAAAUUCUUUAUUUCUCAAAGAAAAUAACCUAAAAAUAUUUUGUAGUCUAGUCAUAUGAAUUGGAAACUAUCAGAAUGGUUAGGACAUGUACUUUUAAUUGUCUGAUUGAUUAGAGAAUAUUUAUAAUUGAUUGUGUAGUGUCUUAAUAAAGGGUAACAACUCUAUAUCAAAUAUUUCUAAAAUGGGCAAUUAUAAUUGAUUAUUUAGGUCAUCCAACCGAUUAGAAUAAGGACCCAUUCGACUAGACCAUUAAUUUGGCCCAUGGAUCCUUUCCUUUUUUGUACCAACCUUUAGCCUAUAAAUGGAGGCCUCUCCUUUCACUUUUUUACAUCCAUAAACGUGAGUCUUCUCACUCUUCACACACUCCUUCUCUAAAAUAUUUUUUCUCUUCCUAUCACAUCAAUUUAGCCAUAGCACUUUGAGAAAGGUUCUUGUUUUCAAGUGAGGGAUUUAUUCUGGAAAGGGUCAUAUUGUAAAUUAACCAACAUUUCUUUUUCCUCUUGAGUGAAUAUCUCUUCCUUAGGAAAUGUUUGUUUGGGUUCAAAUCUAAACUCGUUAAAAGCUUUGUUUGGGGGAUUUAAUAUUAAGUCAUCGUAGGAUCAAUAUAUGAUAAGCUGCAAUGCUGGAUAUUCCAAAAAGGGUUAAGGGAAGACUAUAUGUUUCAUGGAAAUUUAGGGCUAGAAGAAGGAAAGGGUAUGAGUGACUUUCUUAAUAGGGUCAAUUCUUACAUUAAUUAUGAAAGGAAACUCUAAGCUGAAGAAUUAGAAAAAGUUUGAAGAUCAAGAAACCUGGUUCAUAGUCGACCAACAGAGAGGGACGUUAACCAAUGUCGAGACAAAGGAAAUAAAGGUUGUAAAGGCAUAUUUGUGGAACUUUGUGCUUGCAUGUUCAAUAAGGAUGUAAUCAAAAGCUAAGCAAGUCAUGUCUAUCAUUGUUUGGUUUUGAUUAUGACAACCUAUAAAGAUGAAACCUAGCCUUGAUGAGACUAUGAUUACAACUUGUUAAGCCAUAAAAAAUGCAUAAGAUAGUUUGUUAAAGCUCUUCCUUUGAAUAAAGAUGAAGUGUUAAGCUUAAUGAUCAUUAUAAUAUCCUCUAAUGAUGGUGUCCAAAAUGAAGAUAUCUCAAGCCUCACCUCCAGGAAUACUCAAGCAAAUUCUUAUAUGAUUUUUGUAUUCAGAAAAGUAUUGGAGCUUCAAGUUAUGAAAGAGAGGAAGUGUGAAUGCUCGCUUGAUCAUGUCUGAAUGAUUAUUGUUUUAUAAAAAAACAAGGGAGUUUUUGUAAAUUACUAUGGCUAAAUCACACACUCACUAAAACCAUUUUUAAAUCCUCUAUUUAUUUAUGAAAAUGACCUAAAAAUAUUUUGGAGCAUAGCCAGAUGAAUUGGAAACUAUGUGAAUGAUUAGGACAUGUAUUUUGAAUUCUUAAAUUGAUUAGAGCAUAUUCCCAAUCAAUUGGAUAUGAGAAAAUUCAGUCCAUAAUCGAUUGUGACAAUGUAUUAAUGAAGGGUAAUGACAAUAUAUCAAAUCCUUAAAAAAAGGGCAUUUAUAAUCAAUUAUUUAGGUCAUCUAAAUCGACUGGAAUUUUGACUUAAUCUAUUGGACCAUUAAUUUGGCCAAUGGAUCCUUUCUUUUUUUUACCAACCUUUAGCCUAUAAAUAGAGGUCUCUCCUUUCAAUUUUUCACAUCCAGAAACAUAAUUAUUCUCACUCUCCUCACUUUCAAUCCCUAAAAUAUUUUUUUUCUCUUUCUCUCACAUCAACUUAGACAUACGCUUUGAGAAAUGUUCUUGUGUUUAAGUGAGGAAUUUGUUCUGGAAAUGAUAAUAUUGUAAAUUCACCAAGAGUUCUUUUUCCACUUAAGUGAAUAUCUCUCCCUUAGGUAUUGUUUGUUUGGUUUCAAAGUUAAACCCGUUAAAAUAUUAGUUUGGGGGAUUUAGUAUUAAGUUGUUGUUUAGUUCGAGAGCUGAGCCACUUAAGAAAAAGUUGUCUUUCAGGAUUCUUGAAGAUAACCAGUGAUAAAUCUUCUCUUUGGUUAUUGAGUUCAGCCCGAUGUAAAAACUCUACUUGGUUCGAUAUCAUCCUGAUAUAAAAUCUUGGUUUGGUUCAUGUUCAUCCCGUGUAAACCCCUGUUUCAGUUUAGUGGAAACUCAUUUUGAAACUCCACAUUGGUUCUAUAUAAGUCUGUAUAAAAUCUCGAUUUAUCUUGGGGAUUAACCGCUCGAGACUUUUUUUCAUGUUUGGAAAAAAGACUAACCACUUCAGUCCAUUGCUUGAUAUAUGUUUGGUUGGAAGUUAACUUGAAACUUCAAUUUUCUUGUAUAAGGGGGUUUGUUAGCUUAACCUACUAAAAGAUCAUAAGAAUCUCUUUCCCAUAUCUCUUUACUUUUUGCAUAUUUUAUUUUCUCGGUUUUUAAAUGUUUUCUUGAAAAAUGUUUUUGAACUCUGAUUUAGAAAAAAAAUAUAUUUUAAACUAUCAGUUUUCAAACCCCCAAAAUUCACCUCCCCGUCUUGUUUGUGGAGUCACAUGUUCAACAAGUGGUGUCAGAGCCUAAAUCUGAUUCAAAGACUAAUUAGGAGGAAGAUGAAUUCCAACACUAUUUCUAACAAGAGAUAUUUCUUAAACCACCUCCACCGUUUAAUGGUGAUAGGUUUGAACAUGAAAAACUAUAUUUAAAAUAUUAAUUCAAAGUUUUGAUUUCAAAUUGUGGGAAACAAUAAUCAACGAUCCAUUUAUCCCUACUCACCAUAUAAAUGGAGAAGUAGUAGAUAAACUAUAUUUUCUUUGGAGCAUAGAGUAAAAUAGAAAGUUAAAAAUUGAUUUCAAAACUAAAGUUUUUCAGUUAUGUCUUUAUAGGAUAAUCAAUUAUUUUAUGUUUUUAAUUGCAAAUCUUCCAAGGAAUACUCUUGAGCUGAUAUAUAGAGUCUCUCCAAGUAUCGAAAAGGAGAAAAUGAACACAUGAGGCGAAUAAGAUAAAUAUUGUAUCCAUAAGUGCCUCUCCAAAUUUAGAAAUGCUAUAAAAAAUGUUAGAAUGUUUGUUAAUAAUAAAUAUGUAAGAGUUAAUAAUUGGAAUCAAAAAUGUGAUCCAAUCUUUAAAUCAAGAGAUGGAAGUGUUUACGACUUCUAAGAAAAAUUAAAGAAGGAAGAAAUUGUAGAAAAGUUGAAAGAACUAGUUAAAUUACUCAAAAAGAUGAAGGAAUAAGCUCAAAACUUGACGAAUCCUCAACAACUUCAUCAAACUCCUACAAGAUCACUCAUGUGGUUUCCUUAGAAAGAACAUAUUCAGUAGUUGAACGAUCUUUGGAGAAUUCAUUUUAAGAGGAUAUGAAGAAGGAGAAGCCUUAUCUAGUGGAAUCUUUGAGAGAAGAAGAGAGAAUAAAGCCUCAAAGAAUGAUGAAGAGUCAACCUCAGGAAGAACCUUCAAAGAAUCUUCUUCCAAUAAAGGAGAUGAAGUAUGCUUGAAAGUAUCUCAUGAAGAAGAUGACCAUGAUGUAAUAAAGACAUCUUACAAGAUGUUGUUUAGAUUAAGUGCUAAGUUGAUUGAGGAAAAUGAUAACAUUAAAAAGCAUAACUUAGACCUUAAGAAUUAUAUUGAGUUUCUCGAAAAGAGAAAUGAAACGAUUAAGUUCGAAAUAGAUAAUAUUAGAAACUCAACUGGAACAUGUGAGAUCGUGUCUCGAUGAAAAAAGAAGAAACAAACUUACAUGAAACCCUAUGUAAAUUUAAUAGAGGGAAGUAAAACCUUGAUUUGAUUCUAUCAAGUCAAAGACUUUGCUUAAAUAAAACUGCAUUAUGGUUUAAAUUUGAUAGAGCACAUAAUACAAAAUUAAAUAGGUAGAAAGUGAAUAAAACUAUUUAUAAAUUCUCUCAUUGUAAUAGACUUGGCCACUUAGAGCCUUUUUGUUUUGAUAAAUUGAAAAUGUCUAAAGGUAGUAACCCUAGACCUUAUAAAACAUCUAACACGUGAGGACCCAAGAAAAAUUGGGUGAUAAAGGUGAAACCCUAAUGUAUUUUUGCAAGGAUGCUUUGCAGCUUUUAUUAAGCCUUAGCACAUAUUAAAUGAAGUUGUGCAAAGAAAGGAGUUUACUAUCGAGUAUACAAUAAUUUUAGUUUAAAGUCUCUUAUUCAAGGAUACUUGAGGAUGAUCUUAAUGUCUCUGAAUCAUGAUGAUAUGCUAACCUCUUACUAGGUUGAGAAGAUAAGUUUAUGGUGGACAUAUCUAUAUCACAUUUGUAACCAACUCUCAUAUCCAAAGAUCCGUAGAGAAGGGAAUGUCACAUUAUGUUGGUAUUCCCUUGAAAGGGGGAGUUUCUUUUGUCAAGGUUACUUUGUAACCAAGGUAGUACAUUAUAUUAAAGGUUGAAUGAUUGAAAACUCUGAUUAAUCCUUUAAAAUAAUGCGUUUAAUUUUUACUCAUCAAUUUAAAAUAUUUUUGUUAACCAAAUAGAUGAGCUUUCUAGUGCUUUUCUAUAAAAGGCUGCAAAUAAGCUAGCCAAGGGUGCAAAAAAUGAGAAAAUCAAAGCAGAAUAUAGCACAAGGAUCAAAAAUCACCAAGAAGGCUGAAUUCAAAAGCCCAAUUGAUUAGGGAUAUAAUCCAAUCGGUUGGAUCACAUUGGAGUUUCAAAUUUCAAAUCAAAUUUGAUAGAACUUUGUCUCCAAGUCAAUCUAAUUUGCGCAUUAAGGAAAAUUGCACAAGAUCCUUGAAAAUUUGAUGACCCAAUCAAUUGGAGCCUAAACCAAAUCAAUUGGACAAUCAAUUUUAGGAAUAUUUGGUUCUAAUUUUUAUUGGGAAUAAUCUCCAUUGAUUUUCUUCAAGGUUUACAUGCCCAAAAUCACCAUAAGCUCUAUUAUAAAUAGAUGCCCUUUCUUAUUCUAUUACAUCAUAUAUUUUAUUUCUCUCUAAUUAUAUGUAAGAUUAUUACUUAAAAUACUCCAUUAUCAUCACCAUGUCUCCCAGGCUGCUAAGAUUUUCCUCUAUCCCUCUCACCGAUGAUUUCACAUCUCAACAACAAGAAGGAAGAUUCUUCCAAGACUUUGCAAACAGAUCCAUCUUGAGAACUCACCUUUUGGAUUCUGAUGUAUUUAAGUAAUUUGAAUUCUUAAAGAUCUUUGAAGAGUUAAAAUUGUCCACACUCCACUACAACCCCAAGAAAGGUGUAUCCAUCAUUGGUCAAGAUGUUCUUCUCAACUAUCAACUUUACUGAUGGAAUAGUUUACUUCGAAGUAAGAAGACACAAGGUGUCUCUAUCAUUUGAAGAAUUUGCAAGCAUCUUGAAUCUUCUCAAUGAAGGUCCUAUCUUCAAGCCAUAAGAACAAGGAGACAACUUCAACUUCAAGAUUGGCGCAUCCUCGCUUAUGAAAAUAUCAACAUCCCUGGUUCUAUCUUCUUUCACCGUAGGAUCUAUACACCCUGACAUUUGUCUGAUCCAUUAUGUUUCCAAUCACAUACUAUUUCUAUGGAAAAGCAAUUUUGGUCUAUUAUCUAGGUUUGAUGUUCAAAACUUUUGGAUGAUUGCAAACAAAAUCAAAACAAACUAUGCAAAUGAAGUAAUCUAAUACAUGUUGGGAAUAAAGAGAAAAGGAAUGUUCCUACCAUAUGGUCAACUGGUAAAAAAAAUCUUGGACUAAUUCAACUUUGGGAAUGAAGAAUUUGAAGAAGAUGUGACAAAAUAGGAGAAACGAAUCUAACAAUAAUGAAGUAUGAAAUCAUUAAUUUAAAAGUAAAUGAAAACCCUUUCAAAGGAAAGAAUAAAAGGACUAAAGAGCAAUAAGCUCCCGCGAACCUAGAGGAUUUCGAAUAUGACAUCCUUGUUAUGCCUUCUACUAAAGAUCUACUAAGGAAAUAAUUAAAAUACAAAAGAGGACACAUGAGAAAAUUAACUUCAUGGCCUUUAACUUUGCUCAAGACAUAAACCAUAGGUGUUGAAUUAUGAUGAUCAUGAUAGUGAAGAUUAGUCUCACCUAUGUGUUUAAUAUUUAAGUGUGUUUUAAUUUUAAUUUUUGCAUUGUUUCAAUUUCAGAAAUUUCCCCGCUUUCUGUACUUAGAAUUCCAGUAUUAUUUGAAUCGAUGAAGUCUAUUAUUCUAAAUUCUUAUGUGACUAUGUACCUACAUAUUUAAAUUCCCGCCUUACAUCUUUACUUGCCUUUUUGGUUAUGACAAAUGGGGGGUUUAAAUACCCGUCUCUACUCAUUUGAGAGGGGGUUUAAAUACUCUAUUAUUAUCUACCUGUUGUUUCUUUUACCACGUCCCUGAGAGACACGUUAUUAUCAUAAAAAAGGGGAGAAUGUGGAACUAUGUGCUUGAAGGUUCAAUAAGGAAGUAAUCAUAGCUAAGCAAGUCAUGCCUAUUAUGGGUUGGUCUUGAUGAUGACAACAUGCAAAGAUACAAGGUAACAUUAAUGAGACUUUAUUGACAACUUGUGGGGAUAUAAUCUGACCUUAAAGCACAAAAACAAGCAAGUAUUUCAAGGAGUCAAAGAUGAACAAGAUUGUUUAUUCAAGCUCUUCCUCUGAAUAAAGUCAAAGAGUUAGGGUUUAAUGAUCACCAUAAUAUCUUCUAAUGAUGGUGUAUAACUUGAAUAUAUCUCAAGACUCAUUUCUAAGAAAACUUAAGCAAUUUCUUAUAGAAGCUUCAAAGUGUGAAAGACAGGAAGUGUGAAAGCUCGUUUGACAGUGUCUAAGUGAUGAGUGUUUUAUAAAAACAUAAGGCCAUUUUGGUAAGUAAUAUGGAUAAAUCACACACUACCUAAAAUUAUUUUUAAAUCCUCUGUUUCUCAAAGAAAAUAACCUAAAAAUAUUUUUUAGUCUAGUCAUAUGAAUUGGAAACUAUCAUAAUGGUUAGGACAUGUACUUUUAAUUGUCUGAUUGAUUAGAGCAUAUUUACAAUCAAAUGGAUAAGAGAAAAUUGUGUGCAUAAUUGAUUGUGUAAUGUCUUAAUAAAGGGUAACGACUCUAUAUCAAAUCUUUCCAAAAUGGGAAAUUAUAAUUGAUUAUUUAAGUCAUCCAACCGAUUAGAAGAAGGACCCAUUCGAUUGGACCAUUAAUUUGGCCCAUGGAUCCUUUUAUUUUUUGUACCAACCUUUAGCCUAUAAAUAGAGGCAUCUCGUUUCACUUUUUCACAUCCAUAAACGUGAGUCUUCUCACUCUUCACACACUCCCUCUCUAAAAUAUUUUUUCUCUUUCUAUCACAUCAAUUUAGCCAUAGCACUUUGAGAAAGAUUCUUGUGUUUAAGUGAGACAUUUGUUCUGGAAAUGAUAAUGUUGUAAAUUCACAAAAAUUUCUUUUUCCUCUUGAGUGAAUAUCUCUUCCUUAGGAAAUGUUUGUUUGAGUUCAAAUCUAAACCCGUUAAAAGCUUUGUUUGGGGGAUUUAAUAUUAAGUCUUUGUUUGGUUUGUGAGCUAGGUCACUUAAGGAAAAGCUCUUUUUUUGGGUUCUUAAAGAUAAUUAGUAAAAAAUAAUCACUACUUGGUUCGAGAUCAACAUGGUGUAAAAUCUUAGUUUGGUUCAUGAUCAACCAGUGUAAAACCUUAGUUCCGUUUGGAGGAUAACCGGUUUAAAACGCCACAUUGGUUCGAGAUAACUAUGUAUAAAAUCUCAGUUUAGAUUACGGACUAACCAUUCAAAGCUUUGUUUUUGUUUGGAAGGAAGACUAACCACUUUAGUCCAUUGUUCACUAUUUAGUUGGAAGUUAACCUGAAACUUUAUUUUCCUUGUAUAAAGGGGUUCAUGAGAUUAACCUAUUAAAACUUAAUAAGCAUUAUUGGAUACUCUCAAAAUGAAUUCUUGGGGAGAGGACUAUGUCACUUCAUUUAGAACUAACCUCUUUAAAUCAUGGUGUAAUAUCUUUCCAUUAUCUCUUUACUUUCUGCAUAUUUUAUUUCCUCUAUUUUUCCGCAAAAAAUCAAUUUUUUUCUUGAAAAAUGUUUUUAACCUUUUAUUUUGAAAAGAAUUUAAUUUUUAACUGUCAUUUUUCAAACCCCCUCAAUUCACCUUAUUCUUGUGUAUGGAUUCACAUGUUUUACAAUAUCUUCAUCGUAUAAUCCCCUGAAUACUUGAAGAAAAAAAUUCUAAAAGAAUACACUAACACAAACUUCAAAGAGGCUGGGAUAAGAAACCCUUACCCAGUUAAAGAAUCUACCAACAUUGAUAAGACGAGAUAAUUUCAUUUUCAUAAGAUCCCCGAGCACAAUAGGGAUGAAUGCAUGAACUCAAAAAACGUGAUUGAUGAGCCAAUUAAGAAAGGAACACUAACCCAUUACACUUAAGAGAACGGUCAAAAGGAUUAUCAUGUCUUGAUGCAAUAACUCCUAUCAUUGGAUAUCCAUGGCAUCUUGCCAAAAAACAUAAGAGUAAUUAUAACCAGAUUGUGCUUAUUCUUUAAUGUUAUAUUUAAUAAAGUUCUUGAAUUCAAAAAAUUAGACGAAUUAGAAGAUGAGAAUGCAAUAAUCUUGUGUUAAUUGGUGAUGUAUUUCCCUCCAUAUUUUUUUGAUAUUAUUGUUCACUUAAUUGUUCAUCUAGUCUGAAAAAUAAAAUUUUAUGGUCCAAUUUAUUUAAAGUGGAUGUAUCUAAUAGAGAGAUACAUGAAGAUCUUUAAAGAAGAAGAAUCAUCACUGACUAGAAGCUUCAAUUGUAGAAAGGUAUAUCACAAAAGAAGCUGUUGAGUUAUGUUCAAACUAUUUGUCAAAAGCGGAGUCUAUGGGAAUUCUAAAGUCUCGUCAUGCUAACAUAUAUGCAGGUAGAGGUACUCAAGGUUUAAAUGUUAUGUUAAUGCUUCAGGAAAUAGUUCUUCAAGCACAUUUGUAUAUAUUGAAUAAUGUUGAUGAAGUUCAAUCUUACUUAUCUACUCAAAAAAGACUUAUAAAGAAAAAAUAUCCCCAAAUGAGUGACAAAUGGUUGUUGAAAGAGCGUAAUAAGAACUUCAUAAGUUGGUUUAAUGAAAUAAUUUCUAAUGAUGAUAGUCAAUCCGAGACAAUUAAAUGGAUAUCAUGCAAAAAUUUACUUUAGUAACUUGGAUUGGAUAUGACAUUACUAAUUUUUCCUUUCAUACAAAAUCAAAAGAUAAUCAUAGUACAAUACAAAAUAGUGGGUUUUUUUGUUAAGGCCAAAUCCAUCUCUUUCUCUAGUUCGAAAGAUAAGAAUCUUAUACUGGCAUCUAGAGUGUACUUUGGAGUCAUUGGGGAGAUUUGGGAGAUUGAUUAUGUUUUACUGAAAGUUCCUUUAUUUAAAUGCAAGUGGACUGAAAACAACAUUGGCGUACAAACUGAUGAAUUAUGAUUCACACGGGUUGACCUUGACAAGACAACUUAUAUGGCAUAACCAUUCAUCAUGGCUACCCAAGAAAAAUAAGUGUUUUAUGUGAUUGACCCUUCUGGAAAAAGAUGGUCAAUUAUUCUCCAAGGAAAACAUAUUCCUCAUAGUGAUGAAAAUCUUUAAUUUUUGAUAUUCCUUCGACUCCUUUUUACACAACACAAGUGCCUACUUCAUAUGAAGAAGUUAAUAGAGAUGAUGUGUAUGUUAUUCGUAAUGAUCUUGAAGAAGGCAUAUGAGAAAAGUAAAAAGUAAAUAUUUUUUAUUCUUUAUUUAUAAUUUAUUGUAUGUUAUAAUUUCUAAGAUUAUAUACUAAUAAAUAUUAUUAUUUGAAAUUAUAGGUGUUUAAAGUCAAGACACCGAGAUAUUAAAAUGACAUUUCCUCACGUCGUAGAUAUUAUAUAAUGUAACGGUGUGUAAAUAGUAAGUUGUUUUAUGCCAUUUAAAAGUAAUACAAAAUGGUUUCUGUAAUACAAAAUUGUAAGUUUUUUUAUAUCAUUUUGAUGUAAUACAAAAUGGUUUUGAUGUAAUACAAAAUUUUGUUCUUAAUAGUUGCCAACUAUAUGAGUAUUGUUCACAAAUGAUUUGUGUUGCUGUUUCUGGUCUAUUUAUGAUUUACAAAAAUACAGGUUAAUCAAAUGUGAAUUCUAUAAAAUCAAAAAGUUAUAUUUAGAAAAAUAAAUUAUUUCACCAUAGUUGGUUAUUUCAAUCGUGGUUAUAUGUAGCGUGAUAUCCAGAUUAAUAAAUGCAAAAAAUGGAGUUGGUGGGUAUGGAAUCCACGACCUUUUAGUUUUUCACUACAUUUAUUUAUUACAAUCAUAGUGAUAUGUAAAGCGAUUUCCAAUUUAUUACCACAACCAUUAGCGUGUGGUGGUAAGUAUCACACUCACUAUCAAACACUACUUUACCACGGACAAUUAACCGCGAUUAUAUAUCUGUUAUAAUUGUUGUAAAAUGUGUUAUUUAUAGUAAUGUUUCCUCCAAAGAUAAACUUUGUUAUCUCGCUCUCCAAGCAUCUCAACUUGGUCACCAAUACUGAUUAUGACUGUUGGUGUAAGCCCUAGAGGCCAAUACUUUUGGUACUUGUAUCGAAUUAUUUAUUAAUAAUAAAAAGCUUUUUCUUUAUUAUGUAUGUUUAAUAAAGUCCUUAGAAUAGCUAGUCCAUUUAAUGUAUCAAGUGUGACUUAAUCAUGAGAUCUCAUUAAACAUAAGGACAAUAUUCUUAAAGUAUCCGUAGUCGAACUUUGUUGUAAAGUGGGAUAAAAUUAAAGCAUUAAGACUAUUACGUAUAUAGACUGAUGAUCACAUCUCAUGGAUCAUGGAUAAGAAGUUAUCAAGUCUUAAACAUAUGUAUGAAUAUUAAGAGUAAUAUUUAUACUGGAUUGACCCGCUAUGAGAAUACUACAUAGAAUGUUAUACAAAGUGUCAUAAGUUAUUCUCAUGGUGAUAGUGGUGUAUACCAUCCUUCGACCUGAAACCACUAUGGAUCCUAGAUGUAGAGUCGAGUGCCUUAUUGUUGAUCAAACGUUGUCCGUAACUGGAUGACCAUAAAGACAGUUGAUGGGUACUCCAUGAAGCAUGCUGAUGAACAUGAGUGACCUAGAUGAAAUUUGCCCAUCCUGCGUAACAGAAUAAAUGUCUAAGGGCCUAAUAUUGAACUGGACAAGGAUGACACGGUCUAUGCCUUAUGUUGGAUAUAGACAUAAGGGUAAAAGGGUAAUUGUACACAUAAGUAUUAUCACAAAAGGAUUUGUCAGAUCACAUGACAUUUUCGUGUCUUGGGUAGCAGUGAUGUGUUGCUAGAUAUCGCUCAUUGUUUAUUAAGUUAAAUACGUGAUAUAAUAUAAUUACCAAUGCCGCGAGAACCUAUAGGGUCACACACAAGAGGAUGGAUUGAUGAGAGAUAGAGUAAAUAAGGAACAUUGUAAGGUACAGUGCACUUAAGUGAAUUGUAGAACAUCGUAAGGUAUGAUGUACUUAAGUAGAAUACAAAAUAUGGCAAGGUAUCACGUGCUUAAGUGAUUUUGGUAUAUCAUAAGAUAUGGGCCACAUAUACUUAAGUUGGAUUUUUAGCUUACAGCCCACACAAGUGGUUCUAUAAAUAGAACCCUUGUGCAAAAGCAUUUGUUCAUAUGAAAUUUCAUUUCUCUCUCUCUCUCUCUCUCACUCUCUCUCUCUCUCUCCUCUCUCUCUCUCUCUCUCUCUCUCUCUCUCUCUCUCACUCAAAGUCUUCAUUCGUAGCAGCUAGCACUGAGAUUGAAGGAACUCGUUCGUGUGGACUGAGUAGAGGCGUUGUCACCAUUAAACGUUCGUGAUCACUCCUUAGAUUUGCAUCAAAAGUUUCAAUCGCCACAAGAGGUAACGAUUCUACCACUGAUCAUGCCAAUUCAUAAGGAUCAUUAAAGGAUAAAUUUUAAAUUCCACUACGCUUUGGGUCGCUAUUCUCCUUCAGUGGUAUCAGAGCCACUUAUGAAAUCAUGCAUUUGAUAGCGGUUUAUUUUCUAUAUUAAUACGAUUAAAAGACAGAAUGAAUCAAAGAAUAAACGAGUAAUUAAAUUUGGCAUCAUGUGUGUACGAUUUGGAUGAUUGAUGUUGACUAUGCUUCAGAAUCCUACGUUAGUAUGGUGGAGCAGCGAUACAUCGAUCGUCCAUAGGUUACACAAUUGAUAUCGAUCAAGUUAUAUAUAUGAUAUAAGUAAUUCUGAUGCAAAAUACGGCAUAUUUGAUAUAUUGUUUCUCUUUCGUUCAUUAAAACACUUAAUGGUUGUUUUCCCUUGAGCGAUCAAUGUUCAUUUUUUCGGAAUCCUACGAAAGUAUGGUGAAGCAAUGACGUGUUGAUUAAUCAUACUGAAUUAACAAUCAAGGUGUGUUUGGCGGUAUGAAAUUGGUGCAUUAGGGUUCAUGACGGUACAAGGGUUGUGUUGUCAAAGAGUUAUGCAAUUAGGGUUGUGACUGCGCAAGAGUUGUGCUUUAAAGUAUCAAGUGUUGAUGCGAAAAUCAACGUUGAUUUCAAAUGAAUUGUUCAUUAAAAUUUUGCAUCGGGGCGCUGCCCCUACAACCCCGGCUAACUCUGCGUAGUGUGAUCAGUCGCUGAAAUUUAAUUUGGUUUAUUUAAUUAACAUAAUUUAAAUUAAUAAUAAUAAUAAUAAUGUGUUUAUUAUUAUUGUCUUGUGGUGAUCGGUUAUGACCUUAUUUUUCCUUUAUUUUGUUUUGGGAUUUUAAAAUACGACCUGCGUGUCGUGCCUCUCUUUUAAUCUCUUAAUGUAACUUCUUUUCUCAUCUCACUCCCUUGUAUGUAAAAUGAGUUUCUUUUAUGUAAUGCAAUAUUAUGAAGAAAGAGAAGAAUAUAAUAUCAAAGGAGGACAACCUUGAAGAUCUUGCUUGGAGAAGCUUAGAUCGUUAUUAUGUUAGCUUAGGUUCUCUCAUUGGCUUGGGAGAACAAUUGCGCUAGGGGCCAUAACUAUUUCAGUUUGUAUGUAUGUUGAUAUAUGUGAAUGUAUAUUGAUGCAUGUGAGAGACGAUUUAUAUGAUAAAUAAGUCGGUGAGAUCAGAACUAUUGCAAAUUCCCUCAAAUUAAAUAUUAAGUUUAUGUUUUCCAUGUUUUAGCAGUUAUCAAGACUAGUAUCGAAUAAUGUAGGUUUCUCAUAUGCGAGGUGCAUGUUCUAUGUUAGUAAGGUGUGAUGGGAUAAUUAUAAUAUCCAAUUGCUCAAACAAUGGGUCUAACUUAACUAAACAAAUUACAAUAAGAUUAUAUACGUUUAGAAGCAAGAGUUGAAAAUGAUCCAUGUGAUGGAUUGGAAUAAGAAGUUAUUCACCCAACUAAAGUAUUCGAGAGUUGUAUUAGAUACAAUUGGAACAAGUUCCUACCUAAAUAACCUAGUUUUGUGUAAUCCGCCUACGCAGACUUAAAAUAAAGAGAAAUGUGGAUCUCGACCCACUAGAAAAUCUUCCAACGAGAUUUUCCGAAUCAAAUGGUGAGGGUCAGUUGUUUUGAGUAAAAUAAUGGGAGCAUAUUUUAUUAAAGGCAUAAUUAAAUAUGUCAUUGAUACUUAUAUUUUCCUUAUUUUCAUGUAGAUUACCAUGACAACAUACACCUCUAACAACAUUUUACGAUCAAUCCUUGACAAGGAAAAAUUAUCUUGGACAAAUUUUCUGGAUUGGCACCGAAAUCUGAGGAUUGUCCUCAAACAUGAUAGAAAGCUGAAUGUCUUGGAGCAACCUGUUCCUGAAGAGAAACCUCCUAGUUCUGCACCUAAGACAGAAAUAGAUGCUUAUAAGAAGCAUGUUGAUGAUGCCAUUGAAACUGCUUGCCUCAUGCUAGCUACCAUGAACUCAGAGUUGCAAAAGCAACAUGAGAAUAUGGCAGCGUUCGAUAUGAUCAAACACCUGGAUAUGCUCUAUCAAGAGCAGGUAAGGCAUGAAAGGUUUGAUGUUUCAAAAAUCCUUUUUCAAGGCAAGUCAGCUGAGGGAGCCCAUGUAGGUCCUCAUGUGCUCAAGAUGAUUGGGUAUGUGGAGAACCUUGAGAGAUUGGGUUUUCCCAUCGGAAAGUAACUUGCGACUGAUUUGAUCUUACAAUCGUUGCCAGAUAGAUUCAGUCAAUUUGUCCUUAAUUUUAAUAAGAAUGAUAUGGACAAAUCUCUUCCUGAACUACUAGCCAUUUUAAGAACUGCCGAGCAGAAUCUGAAGUCAAAAGGGAAGUCCAUUCUGAUGAUCGGAAAUGGAAAGAGACAGAACAAAAGACCCACCCAGCAGGGUGAUAAAGGGAAAGGCAAGAAAGUUUCCAAACCCAAACCCAUUGCUCCUGCUUUGGAGCCUAGUGGAGGCAUAGCAAAGGAAGACACAUGUUUCCAUUGUGGUAAGACCGGACACUGGAAGAGAAAUUGCCCAAAGUACCUGGAAGAUAAGAAGAAUGGAGUAGAGACUUCAAAUUCAGGUAUUUUUGUUAUUGAAAUUAAUUUAUCACCUUCUGCAUCAUGGGUAUUAGAUAUUGGACGCGGUUCUCACAUUUGUACCAAUGUGCAGGGGCUAAAAAGGAGUAGAGAUUUGGAAAAAGGUGAAGUUGACCUACGAGUUGGCAAUUGAGCAAAGGUUGUUGCUUUAGCCGUAGGAACUUAUGUAUUGACUUUACCUAGUGGUUUAAUAAUUCAGUUAGAGAACUUUUAUUAUGUACCGGCAAUUAGCAUGAAUAUUAUUUCCGUUUCUUGUUUGGACAAGUUUGGUUUUUCAUUUAUAUUAAAGAACAAUUGUUGCUCCAUUUAUUUGAAUGAUAUAUUUUAUGCUACUGCACAAAUGAACAAUGGACUAUAUGUCCUUGAUCUUGAAAUGCCUAUUUAUAACAUUAAUACUAAAAGGAUGAAACCAAAUGGACUAUAUGUCCUUGAUCUUGAAAUGCCUAUUUAUAACAUUAAUACUAAAAGGAUGAAACCUAAUGAGUUAAAUCCAACUUACAUUUGGCAUUGUCGAUUAGGCCACAUAAAUGAGAAACGCAAUUCCAAACUCCAUAAAGAUGGACUCUUGGACUCUUUUGAUUAUGAAUCAUAUGAGACAUGAAAAUCUUGUUUAAUUGGAAAGAUGACAAAGUCUCCAUUCAUAGGAAAAGGUGAAAGAGCUAAUGAUCUUUUGGCCCUCAUACAUACUGAUGUAUGUGGACCAUUGAACAUACCAUCCAAAGGAGGUUUUCAGUACUUCAUCGCAUUUACUGAUGAUUUCAGUAGAUAUGGUUAUGUGUAUUUAAUGAAACAUAAAUCAGAGUCCUUUGAAAAGUUCAAGGAAUUCAAGAAUGAAGUACAAAACCAAAUAGGUAAGAAUAUUAAAACUCUUCGAUCAGAUCGAGGUGGUGAGUAUUUAAGCCUAGAGUUUGAUGACCAUCAGAGUGUGGGAUUCUAUCCCAACUUACUCCUCCUGGAACACCCCAAUGGAACGGUGUAUCUGAGAUAAGAAAUCGAACCUUGUUAGACAUGGUCCGAUCCAUGAUGAGUCACGCCGAUCUUCCAAACUCCUUUUGGGGACAUGUACUAUUGGAAACAGCUUACACACUUAACCGUGUUCCAUCCAAAAGGUUAAGAAGACACCAUAUGAGAUAUGGAGUGGUAAGAACUACAUAUGUCUUACAUAAAGAUUUGGGGUUGCGAAGUUUAUGUGAAACAACAAAUUUCACUAAGCUUGAGCCCAAAUCUGACAAAUGCUUAUUUGUGGGGUAUCCUAAAGAAACAAGAGGGUAUUACUUCUACAAUUCUUCUGAGGGAAAAGUGUUUGUCGCUCGAACUGGAGUUUUCCUAAAAAAGGAUUUUAUUUCAAAAGGAAUCAGUGGGAGGAAAGUAGAGCUUGAAGAAAUUCAAGAAUCACAAAGCAUUGAUACACCUAUGGAGGAAUUAGAGAAGGAAACACAAGUAGUUGUGGAAGAGCAACCUGUUCAAGUAGAACAAGACCAACGUAGGUCAAGCAAGAUACAUCACCUACUUGAGAGAUAUGGAUAUCUCAUAACCGAUCAAGGUGAUGUAUUACUCAUGGAUCAAGAUGAGCCUGUGACCUACCAAGAGGCCAUAACUGGUCUGGAGUCUGAGAAGUGACUAGAAGCCAUGAAAUCUGAAAUGGAUUCCAUGUACACAAACCAGGUUUGGACCUUGGUAGAGCCUCCUGUAGGAGUUAACCCUAUAGGAUGCAAGUGGGUUAACUCUAUGGAUGGUAAGGUAUAUACCUAUAAGGCAAGGCUGGUUACAAAAGGAUAUAAACAAAUUCAUGGGGUUGACUAUGAUGAAACCUUUUCACCAGUUGCAAUCCUUAAAUAUGUUCAGAGUUUACUUGCUAUUGUUGCAUAUCAUGAUUAUGAAAUAUAGCAGAUGGAUAUCAAAACUACUUUCCUUAAUGGGAAUCUUCUUGAGGAUGUGUACAUGACACAACCUGAAGGAUUUGACAUACCAGAAGAAGCCCAAAAGAUGUGUAAGUUAUAAAGAUCAAUUUAUGGAUUAACGCAAGCUUCCAGAAGUUGGAAUCUUUAUUUUGAUGAAACAGUAAAACAAUAUGGAUUCAUCAAGAAUGAAGAUGAACCUUGUGUCUACAAGAAGGUUAGUGGGAGCAUGGUCAUCUUCUUGGUAUUAUAUGUAUAUGACAUAUUACUCAUUAGAAAUGAUAUCCCUACCCUACAACAAGUAAAGUCUUGGUUGGGGAAAUGCUUUUAUAUGAAGGACCUAGGUGAAGUAGCCUAUAUAUUAGGAAUCAGGAUCUAUAGAGAUAAAUCAUAAAAACUGCUUGGCCUAAGUCAGAGUACAUACAUAGACAAAGUGCUGAGACGCUUUAAUAUGCAUGACUCCAAGAAAGGAUUCAUACUUAUGCAACAUGGCAUGUGUCUAUCAAAAACACAAUCCCCUUCAACUAAGGAAGAAAGGGAUUGCAUGAAUAAGAUUCCAUAUGCAUCUGCAAUAGGAUCUAUCAUGUAUGCCAUGUUAUGUACUCAACCAAAUGUCUCGUAUGCUUUAAGUGCAAUGAGUAGGUACCAAUCUGAUCCCGGUGAUGCUCAUUGGGUAGCUGUCAAGAAUAUCCUUAAGUAUUUGAGAAGGACUAAGGAAUCAUUCUUGAUAUAUGAAGGUCAGGAAGAGCUUGUUGUAAUUGGAUACACCGAUGCUAGCUUCCAGACAGAUAAGGAUGACUUUAGAUCAUAAUCUGGUUAUGUGUUUUACUUAAACGGUGGCACUGUGAGCUGGAAAAGUUCAAAGCAAGAUACAGUUGUUGAUUCUACAACCGAGGCUGAGUAUAUUUCUACCUCAAGUGCAGCAAAGGAAGCUGUUUAGAUCAAAAAGUUCAUUAGUGAACUUGGCAUAGUUCCUAGCAUUGUGGAUCCCAUUGAUCUCUAUUGUGAUAAUAAUGGUGCUAUCGCACAAGCUAAGGAGCCUAGACCUCACCAAUGAUCCAAACACAUACUUAGGCGUUAUCACCUCAUUCGAGAGAUAAUAUAUAUAGGAGAUGUGAAAAUAUACAGAGUACCUACACUUGACAAUAUUGCCGACCCACUGACAAAGCUUCUUGCGCAACAGAAGUAUGAUGGCCAUACUAGAUCUAUGGGCAUUAGGGGUAUGCUUGAUUUGCUCUAGUGUUAGUGGGAGAUUGUUGAUGUAAGCCUUAGAGGCCAAUAUUUUUGGUACUUGUAUCGAAUUAUUUAUUAAUAAUAAAAGGCUUUUUCUUUAUUAUGUUUGUUUAAUAAAGUCCCUAGAAUAGCUAGUCCAUUUAAUGUAUCAAGUAUGACUUAAUCAUGAGAUCCCAUUAAACAUAAGGAAACUAUUCUUAAAGUAUCUGUAGUUGAGCUUUGUUGUAAAGUGGGAUAACAUUAAAGCAUUAACACUAUUAUGUAUAUAGAUUGAUAAUCACAUCUCAUGGAUCAUGGAUAAGGAGUUAUCAAGUCUUAAACAUAGGUAUGAAUAUUAAGAGUAAUAUUUAUACUGGAUUGACCCGCUAUGAGAAUACUAUAUAGAAUGUUAGUAAAGUGUCAUCAGUUAUUCUCAUGGUGAUAGUGGUGUAUACCACCCUUCGACCUGAAACCACUAUGGAUCCUAGAUGUAGAGUCGAGUGCCUUAUUGCUGAUCAAACGUUGUCCGUAACUAGAUGACCAUAAAGACAAUUGAUGGGUAUUCCAAGAAGCAUGCUGAGGGACAUGAGUGACCUAGAUGCAAUUUGCCCAUCCUGCAUAAUAGGAUAAAUGUCUAAGGGUCAAAUAUUGAACUGGACAAGGAUGACACGAUCUAUGCCUUGUGUUAAAUAUAGACAUAAGGGUAAAAGGGUAAUUGUACACAUAAGUAUUAUCACAAAAGGAUUUGUCAAAUCACAUGACAUUUUCGUGUCUUGGGUAGUAGUGAUGUGUUUCUAGAUACCGCUAACUGUUUAUUAUGUUAAAUACAUGAUUUAAUAUAAUUACCAAUGUCGCGAGAACCUACAGGGUCACACACAAAAGGAAGGAUUGAUGAGAGAUAGAGUAAAUAAGGAACACCGUAAGGUACGAUGCACUUAAGUGAAUUGUAGAACAUCAUAAGGUACGGUGCACUUAAGUAGAAUACGAAAUAUGUUAAGGUACCACGUGCUUAAGUGAUUUUGGUAUAUCAUAAGAUAUGGGCCACAUACACUUAAGUGGGAUUUUUAGCUUACAGCCCACACAAGUGGUUCUAUAAAUAGAACCCUUGUGCAUAAGCAUUUGUUCAUAUGAAAUUUUGUUUCUAUCUCUCUCUCUCUCUCUCUCUCUCUCUCUCUCUCCCACACACACACACACACAUACACACACACACAUACGCACACACACACACACAUACACACACACUCAAAGCCUUCGUUUAUAGCAGCUAGGGCUGAGAUUGAAGGAAUUCGUUCGUGUGGACUGAGUAGAUGCGUUGUCACCAUUCAACGUUCGUGAUCACUCCUUAGAUCUGCAUCAAAGGUUUCAACCGCCACAAGAGGUAACAAUUCUAUCACUGAUCAUGUCCAUUCGUAAGAAUCAUUAAAGGAGAAAUUUUAAAUUUCGCUGCGUUUUGGAUUACUAUUCUCCUUUAAUGACUUCACCUCAUAGUGUUUUCAUCACUAAGAUUUGAUGGACUUGGUCAACACUAAUGAUGAAGGCUUCACUUUGGAGUGUAGUUAUCAUCAAAACUAAAUAUAUUAUUGCAUAUAUCACAUUUACAAGCACAUAGAUCUACAAUUGUAGGAAGUUGGUCAAGGGGAGAUAUUUGCUCAUAGUAACCCUUCUAAAGAGAAUGCCAUUUGCAAAGGAAAAUAUGAUGUCAUUUCUUAUGAGAGGACCAAACUCCAAGAUAAGUUAUAUGAGCUUCAGAUGAAAGUGGACAUAUUAUCUAGUCUUCAAAAGGAGGUGGAGACCCAUGGCACCCCUUUUGACAUGGCUUAUAUGGUGACUAGUUCGAACACAUCUCUAGAGGUGAAUGAAAAAUCCCUUGAAUAAUUUGAGUUGAACCAAUUGUCUGUCGAAGAAGCAUUUAGGAAGGAGAAGUAAGCUCACCCCGAGUAGGAUAUAACCUAUGAGGAGGCCCUAGCGAUGGGGAAGAAAGUUCGUCUAGAGUCCGUUGAGGUUGGCGUCAAAUUUUUGUAUAACGCCUUCAAUAAUGUCUCUGACUUGGUGGAGGUGUUGUGCCCGGGAGUCCAGAUCCCCGAUGAUAAGAUGAACUCAAAGAAGGUGGUCGUGAAGGGAGCAAUAAUCAGUGACGAGGAGGAGUGACCCAUGUGGUUUCUUUUUUAUUUCUUGUAUUUUUGUUACUGUCAAUGUCGUGUAAUAUCUUUAAACACAUUUUUGUUACUUUAUUGAUUCAUUUUACUUAGAUUGUUUAAUGACCUGAAUUACUUUUAUUAAUUAGUUGUUUGGCCUCCUACGAUUUUUGAAUUUAGUCUUUUACAAUCAUUUUUCAUCACUCUGAGUCUUAUUUCAACCCUUUUAUAUGGCAUAUGUGAAACAAACCCUUGUAGAACUCAAAUAUUUAUCUGAGGCCCCUUUAUCUAGGUUUCCAUAUUUUCCCUUAAUUUGGGAUAUCUUGACUCCCUAUAAGGUUGUGGUAUUUUCCUAGAAGAUUUUAAAGAAUAAGUUUUCUUCUAGAGAAAAUUUCUUUAAGCGAGAGAUUAUUGUCGACCUAAAGACUAUCUAUUGUAUAUUUUAUGGGGAUUCGCUUGAAUAAACUUCCCAUAUGUUUUCACCUAUAUAUUAUCCUAUAGCGUUUAGUAUGUGAUCUUUGGCUGGUUAGGGGUGCAUUGUGCUCUUCCUAUGGGUUUUAGGACUCUUGUCGAGUUUUUACUUUUUUUUAGGGGUGAAGGAUAAGUCUAGAUGAGUGUUCUCCAUGAUAUGGAAUGCAGUGGUGUGAAACAUUUAAUUAAUGCGUAAUGAUAAGUUCUUCUCUAGUUCAUUAAAAAACGUCAAAGAGGUGGUGAAUAAGAGUACUUUUUUGGCUUGGUGUUGGUUUUAUAGUCAUUAAGUUGUGAACUCUUUCUCUUUCUCUAAUUAUUUUCAGAAACCUUUCUUAUGUCUUAACCAAUAUCGGAGAAAAGUUCUGACUUACUUCAAAGGUUUUUAGUGGGAUGUGGUGUUGUUAUGGUUCUUUUAGCCUGAUGAUGGCGGGUUCAGAGUUCAGAGCUAUAGCUGGUUCUCUAUUUGAUGUUGCUUCAUUGUGUGGGUACAGUUCUUGAGUUAUGUUCAUGUUUGUGUUUGGUUGGGUGCUCUUUAACUUUUGUAUAGGAUGUUUGUAUUUAUAUGGUUUUUCUUAAAUUUAUUGUUUCUAUUGCUACUUCUUCUACCAAUUUGACUUUGAAAUCAUGAUUGUGGUUCUCUCUCUCUCUCUCUCUCUCUCUCUCUCUCUCUCUCUCUCUCUCUAUAUAUAUAUAUAUUAAUAUAUAUAUAUAUUAUAAUAUAUAUAUAUAUAUAUAUAUAUAUAUAUAUAUAUAUAUAUAUUAUAUAUAUAUUAUAUAUAUUAUAUAUAUUAUAUAUAUUAAAAAAAAACUGUCCAAUAUAAUCACUCACUUGUUUUAAACCCUUCUUUUUCGCUUUUAUUUUCUUAAUUUUAAUUACUUUAACACACACAAUUAUUUUGUUUUUUUUCUCACGUUUAUUUUACAGAUUCUUUUAUGGGUUUCAAAAUACUUAUCACAAUCCUUGCGGGAUCAAUGGAUUUUGUUAUCACUUACUACUAAUUUAUCUAUGUAUACUUGUGCAUACGUAAAAAUCAUGCAGUACUGAUUUGUCUAUGUAUAUUUGUGCACAAGUAGAAAUCAUGUACGAUGAUUGCGAAACUCGCAUCGCCUCUUCCUUUCAAGUGUGGUAUAGGUUAGGCUACAGUCAAUUAUGGUGAAACGAUUAGGCUCGGUUAUUAUAUUGAUAAUUUUGACCAUGAAUCUACGAAGACAAUGUGGAUUUCUUCUUCUUCUAAGUUUGAUGUUUGUUUCGAUAUUCAUGUAACUCGUUUCCAUACUCGUUGUUGGACGAGUGGGUGUUACGAUGGUAAUGUGAAUUUGUCGUUGAAGAUUGUUGUAUAAAUGCUUGUUUUGUUGAUUUUUGUACUAGUGCUUAAUUACUAAAUGUUUCGUUUUAAUGAAGAUGGCAAAUAGUGGACAAAGUUAAUUAGCAUAAAUAUUUCAAAAAGAUUAACAGGUUAAUGAUAGUCUUGUAGAGUUUCAGUAAUCUUGACAAACAUGAUUCAAUCACACUGGUCGAAUUCUCUCUUGUUCUUCACUCAUCAUUUGAGUGAAUCAAUCAAUUUUGGUUGCAAGAUGAUGAUGACACUGAAAUUCACCGUAUUUUUGACUCCGAUUUCACAUGCAUUUUAGUUGUUUUAUUGUUAUUUUGUUAUGUUAUUACUAUGUUUUUCUUUUUUUUUUCAGGUUUUCAGUCUAAUCGGAGCCCCGAUCGAGAAAAGGAGUGAAAAUGAGCUAAAAAGUCAUAAAAUCAGCAUUUUACACUUGUGGCUCCCACUGUGGCGGGCGCCAUGGGUCCAGCCAUGACGUGUCCCAGUUCCAAUCUCUCCUCAACUGCCACAUCUCCCAUUAUCUCCACUUGGGAGCGGGCGCCAUGGGUCCAGCCAUGACGUGUCCCAGUUCCAAUCUCUCCUCAACUGCCACAUCUCCCAUUAUCUCCACUUGGGCGCCACAUUUUCCUCAUGUGGCGGGUGCCAUGAUGUUGUGGCGGGCGCCACAAGAACAAAAGUUUUCCCUCCCAUUUUCAAACUGAAGGGCAUCCUUGUCAUUUCCAUUAUUUUCCUUUCCUAUAAAUAGAACCUUGAUUUCAUUUGUUUCUUCAUCCAAACUUAGUUACAACUAGGCAUAUAUCAGUAUUGUAAAAGUGGUAAUCGCUUCACAUCGGAGUGUUUCCACACCGUGUAAUCAAGUUUGUAAUUGAGUUUGGAGCACUUUGGAAGGAAGUUUAAUCCUGCCUCCAUUUUCAUUUCUGUUACGCACUUUAUUCGACCCUUCGAUUGGAGUAGGUUUUAUUGCUUUACCUUUGUCUACUUUAUUUUCCCGCACUGCCUUUACUUUGUUUACUUUCCCGCACUGGCUUUAUUUUAUUUACUUUCCCGCACUCGCACUUUACUUUGUUUAUUUCUCGCACCGCACUACUUUUAUUUACUUUCCUGCACCGCACUACUUUUAUUUAAUUUCCUGCACUCGCACUUUACUUUGUUUAUUUCUUGCACUGCACUACUUUUAUUUACUUCUUGCACCGCACUACUUUUAUUUAUUUUCCGCACUCACACUACUUUUAUUUACUUUCCGCACUCGCACUACUUUUAUUUAAAUUAAAAUGCAUUCUUACUUUACCAUGUCUAGCUAAACCUAUAAAUGUUAGAAUGUAAGGAUCAUAAUUGAACCGAUAAUCCGUGCAAUUGUUCGUAGAAACACUUAAGGGUUAUUUUGACUUUCAACUUAAGUUUUCCCGCACUUAAUUUCCGUUGGGUAAGAUCGAAAGUCGUCCGACGUCUAUUUAAACUUAGCUGUUUUUAACUAUUUCAAAUACAGCGAAAGUGCUUUGUUUAGUUCAUUAGGAGUUUUUAACUUAAAAAGAAAAGUGAUUUGAAAACUAUUUUCGGACGCAUUUAUAAGUUUAGAGUCUGGUUCGUGAGAACCUCAUUUGGUUAAGAAAUCCAGGUCAAAAUACUUUUCAACUUAGUCAAGAUACUAUAUUUCUUAAAAAUAGGUUUACUAAUCUAACGCAAUGUGCGCCUUUUUAUAAGUGACAAUAAGAGGGUUUAAUUAGGGAGUACAACUCGGUUCUGAAUACGCGAAAGCGACAGUUCCCAUUAAAUUGGUACUUUUCAAAGUAGGAAACACUUCUCAUAAGUAAUUCUAUUAGCAAGUACUUGGAUUAUCAAUUGAUUAUGUGAAUUACAUUCGAACCUGUCUUUAUUAAUUGAAUUUAAUUUAAUACUUUAUUUUUCAUUGUGCACUCUUAAAACCCCUAUUUCGAUUACCUUAGAUAAACACUGUAACGAUAGAUAACGAUAGAUUGACACUUGGUCUCUAUGGAUUCGACAAUCUUUUAUAUUACUCUGACGCGUUCGUAUACUUGCGAAAAGUACGCAUCAAGUUUUUGGCGCCGUUGCCGGGGACCAAUUUCGUCAAAUUUCGUACCCUAUUGUUAUAUCGUUUAGACUUAGGUUGUUACCUGCCGGUCAAUGUGAAGAACUCGCAGCACCAGAAGCUUAGUAUAUCCUCUGGCGGAACCUGAACAUUACGCUCGCGCACGUUUAUUUUUCCAUAGAAUUAGGAGAGUUAUGGCCGAAGAUCAAAAUCAAAGACCUCUUAAGGAUUUCGCUCAACCAUCCAACGAAGAACCUAGUUCUAGUAUAGUAAACCCAACCAUCCCAGCGAAUAAUUUCGAACUUAAACCCUCCCUGUUGCAACUAGUGCAACAGAGACAAUUCGUAGGUCUUGCUACUGAGAAUCCAAACCAACAUUUAAAAAUCUUUCUCCAAUUAGCAGACACUUUUAAAACCAAUGGAGCUUCUCCUGAAGCAAUCCGUUUAAGAUUAUUCCCUUUCUCCCUCAGAGAUAAAGCCCUAUCAUGGUUAGAUUCCCUUCCACCCAAUUCCAUAACAACUUGGGAAAACCUUAGAAAAGUAUUCCUUGCUAGAUACUUUCACUUUCUCCCUCAGAGAUAAAGCCCUAUCAUGGUUAGAUUCCCUUCCACCCAAUUCCAUAACAACUUGGGAAAACCUUAGAAAAGUAUUCCUUGCUAGAUACUUUCCCCCAAGUAAGACCGCCGUUCUGCGAAACCACAUAACCAGAUUUACCCAGAACCAAGGAGAAUCAUUGUUCGAAGCUUGGGAGAGAUAUAAAGAGUUAUUAAGAGCAUGCCCACAUCAUGGUCUAGAAAAUUGGUUAAUCAUUCAGACCUUCUAUAAUGGACUUCACUAUAACACUAAGAUGACCAUCGACGCUGCCGCAGGUGGCGCACUGAUGAAAAAACCUUAUCCUGAAGCUAGUGCCAUCAUCGAAGAUAUGGCUCAAAACCAUCAAUCAUGGGGAGUUGAACGAGCGACAGUUGAGGAGAAGGAAUCCCAAGGAGGAACACAUGAGUUAAGCUCUAUAGACAUGAUGCAAGCUAAAAUAGACGCGUUAGCCCUCAAGGUUGAGCAUAUGUGUACAAACUCGAAUACUGCAGUAGCAGUUUCGUCGGAUUGUGAGAUAUGUGGAACCAAAGGACACCAAUCUGCAGAAUGCAGUCUCUUAAACGAAACCAACUCUGAGCAAGUGAACUACGCCCAAGGGAACCCAUAUUCGAAUACCUAUAACCCUGAAUGGAGGAAUCACCCGAACUUCUCCUAUAAGAACAAUAACCCUAUCCAAAAUACUGCACCUCCGAGACAACCAGGUUAUCAAGCCCCAAGACCAAAUCAACCUAUGCAACCUGUGCCACCAAAGCCGAGCCUUGAGAAAAUUAUGGAAAAUUUUAUCACUGCUCAAACCCAACAAAACAAAGAGUUCAUGAACCAAAACAUUCAUGUUAACGAACUGAUUACCCAGUUAGGAACCAAGGUUGACCAAAUAAUUACUCACAAUAAGAUGCUUGAAACCCAGAUCUCUCAGGUAGCCUUAAACCAAGCCCCCCAGACUACACCUGGAGGACAGUUCCCUGGACAACCUCAACAGAAUCCAAGAGGACAAGCCAAUGGCAUUACCCUACGAAGUGGGACCGCUUAUGAUGAGCCAUUAAACCCAAGAUUGAGUGAACCCAAAACUUCUAAGGAAUAUACCGAACCCACAGACGAAGUAAAGGAACCAGAGGAAUCUGAAAAACAGGAAGGUCAAGAAAAAGGAGAAGAACCUAAAGACAAAACUUAUGCACCACCCCCGCCAUACAAACCACCGAUACCAUAUCCGCAAAGACUCAAACAAACCCAGAUCAAUAACUAGUAUCAGAAAUUCAUUAAGGUUAUAGAAAAACUUCACGUAGAAAUCCCUUUCACAGAAGCCAUCACCCAAAUACCUUCUUAUGCAAAGUUUCUCAAAGACAUCCUUACCAACAAACGUAGACUCGAUGAUCCGAAGCCAUUGGAAUGCAAUUCCAUUUUCGGGAAUAAGUUAGCCAAAAAAGAUAAAGAUCCUGGAAAUUUCUCCAUUCCUUGUCUUUUGGGAAGUCAUGUCAUCGAAAAAGCUUUUCUAGACUUAGGAGCUAGUGUGAGCUUAAUGCCCGUAGCAGUUUGUGAGAGGUUAAACUUAGGAGAAUUACAGCCUACUAAGAUAUCACUUCAAUUAGCUGAUAGAUCUGUUAAGUAUCCGAUAGGCAUAUUAGAAGAUGUCCCUGUUAGGAUAAGUCAGUUAUUUAUCCCUACUGAUUUUGUUGUCAUGGACAUCAAAGAGGAUAAUGAUAUACCAAUCCUUCUAGGUAGACCAUUCUUAUCAACUGCGGGAGUCAUAAUAGAUGUCAAGUGAGGAAAGUUGACCUUUGAGGUAGGUGACGAGAAGAUAGAAUUUAUACUUUCGAAAUUUCUUAUGGCACCUGUGAUGGCAGACGCAUGUUAUGCCAUAUAUAUCAUUGAUGGAUGCGUUAGGGAAUUAGAACAAGAAGAAAUCAUAAAAACAAUUAAGUUGCCAUCAACUCUCAUACUGGAUGAUGAUAACUUUAGGAAGCCCUACAUCGAUGAUAACCUUUACGAAUGUUUAUCCCUUACCCCAGAUCCUAUGCCAUGCCCUAAGAAAACAACCUUAGAACUUAAGGAACUGCCUAAGAACCUGAGAUAUGAGUUCCUCGAUGAAGAGAUAAACCGUCCAGUUAUAGUCAGUGCUACCUUGAGACAAGAGGAAACAGACAACCUCUUAGAUGUUUUACGAAGAUAUCCCUCAUCCUUAGGAUAUAAUAUCUCUGAAUUGAAAGGUAUAAGCCCAUCCGUAUGCAUGCAUCGGAUUUCGCUCGAAGAAGAUUCAAAGCCCUCCAGAGAACAUCAGAGAAGAAUAAACCCUAUAAUGAGUGAUGUUGUUAAAAGAGAAGUUCUUAAGCUACUUGAGGCAGGUAUAAUCUAUCAGAUCUCAGAUAGUAAAACCCUAUAAUGAGUGAUGUUGUUAAAAGAGAAGUUCUUAAGCUACUUGAGGCAGGUAUAAUCUAUCAGAUCUCAGAUAGUAAGUGGGUGAGCCCUGUGCAUGUAGUACCUAAAAAGGGAGGCAUCGCAGUAGUGCAAAACGAUAAGGGCGAACAUGUAGCAAAACGGAUAGAAGGAGGGUGUCGGAUGUGCAUAGACUACAGAAAGUUAAAUAAAGCAACCAGGAAGGAUCAUUUCCCUUUACCAUUUAUAGACCAGAUGUUUGAGCGUCUAGCCAGACACUCUUACUUCUGCUAUCUAGAUGGAUAUUCUGGAUUCUUCCAAAUACCUAUCCACCCUGAAGAUCAAGAAAAAACUACCUUUACACGCCCUUAUGGAACUUUUGCCUACAUACGAAUGCCAUUCGGACUUUGUAAUGCCCCAACUACUUUCCAAAGCUGCAUGAUGUCAAUCUUUGCAGAUUACCUAGAUAAUAUCAUAGAAGUAUUUAUGGAUGAUUUCUCAGUUUGCGGAUUUGAUUUCCAAAAUUGUCUUGCUAACCUUGAGAAAAUCCUGGAGAGAUGCGUGGAGGUGAACCUUGUGCUAAACUGGGAAAAGUGUCAUUUCAUGGUCACCGAAGGGAUUGUUUUAGGACAUAUAGUUUCCGAAAAAGGUAUUGAGGUAGAUAGAGCUAAGAUAGAAGUCAUAGAGAACCUAAAACCACCCAAAACUAUCAGAGAAGUCUGAAGUUUCCUUGGACAUGCUGGAUUCUACCGGCGUUUUAUCAAGGACUUCUCUAAAAUAACCAAACCUUUAACUGGCCUUUUAAUGAAAGAUGUUGAAUUCAUUUUCGAUGAAAAAUGUAAUGAAACAUUUAAUCUUUUAAAACAAGCGUUGAUUUCAGCACCCAUUAUGCAACCCCCUGAUUGGUCAAAACCUUUUGAGAUAAUGUGCGACGCUAGUGAUUAUGCCGUUGGAUCCGUUCUAGGACAAAGGAAAGAUAAAAAAUUACAUGCAAUUUAUUAUGCCAGUAGAACCCUAGACGCUGCCCAACUUAACUACGCAACAACUGAAAAGGAACUACUAGUUGUAGUUUUUGCUAUAAACAAAUUCAGAUCUUAUCUAGUAUGAGCCAAAAUUAUAGUUUACACCGAUCAUGCUGCCAUUCGUUACCUAUUAAGUAAAAAAGAUGCCAAGCCCAGGUUACUCCGAUGGAUUCUGUUACUACAAGAGUUUGAUUUAGAUAUCAGAGAUAAAAAAGGCACUGAAAAUGUAGUAGAUGAUCAUCUUUCUAGGCUAGAACACCUGAAACCAGACUUCGUACCCAUAAAUGAUGAUUUUGCCUAUGAUAGACUGAUAGCUAAACUAGAAGCCAUUGAAGACGAUAGCCUAGGCCCUCAUGAGCACUUCCAAAAAUCCUUAGCUGUAAGUAACGUGCCAUGGUAUGCAGACUUUGUUAAUUACCUAGCUGCUGAUAUCAUACCCCCUGAUCUUGACUACCACCGCAAGAAGAAGUCCUUUAACGCUGUAAGAAACUUUUAUUGGGACAAACCGCUCCUUUUCAAAAGGGGUAAAGACGACAUUUUUCGCCGUUGCGUUCCAGAAGAGGAGGUAAAUAGUAUAAUUGAGCAUUGUCACUCCGCACCCUAUGGUGGACAUGCGAGCACCUCUAAGACAUACGCCAAGAUUCUUCAAGUUGGCCUAUUCUGGCCUACCAUGUGGCGUGAUGUCCAUGCUUGCAUUGUCAAAUGUGAUAGAUGCCAACGCACGGGAAAUAUUUCAAGACGUGACGAAAUGCCUCUAAGAAACAUUCAAGAAGUAGAACUCUUCGAUGUUUGGGGUAUAGAUUUCAUGGGACCUUUCCCACCAUCCUUAGGAAACAAGUAUAUCUUAGUAGCUGUGGACUACGUGUCUAAAUGGAUUGAAGCUAUAGCUGCACUCACAAACGACACUAGAGUGGUGAUCAAGUUAUUUAAAAACUACAUAUUCCCCAGAUUUGGAACAUCCCGUUUAGUCAUAAGCGAUGGAGGAUCGCACUUCAUAUCGAGAAUAUUUGAUAAACUUUUAAGCAAAUAUGGAGUUAGGCAUAGAGUAGCGACACCAUACCACCCACAGACUAGUGGCCAAGUAGAAGUAUCCAAUAGGGAAAUAAAACAAAUUCUAGAAAAAACUGUUUCUAUAUCUAGAAGAGACUGGUCUCAGAAGCUCCAAGAAGCAUUAUGGACCUACAGAACCGCUUUCGAAACCCCUAUAGGAACAACUCCCUACCAACUAGUCUAUGGAAAAUCAUGUCAUUUACCUUUUGAAUUAGAGCAUAAGGCCUAUUGGGCCAUUAAUACUUUGAAUUUGGAUUACCUGACCAUUGGUGAAAAACGUAUCCUUGACAUCCACAAACUGGAAGAACUCAGGCAAUCUGCCUACGAGAAUGCCAAAAUUUACAAAGAGAGAACCAAAGCUUGGCAUGACAAAAUAAUAGCGAAAAAAGAUUUCAAUAUAGGCGACCCUGUUCUCCUGUUCAACUCUAGGUUACGACUUUUCCCUGGGAAGCUGCGUUCAAGAUGGACUGGCCCUUUCAAAGUAUCUAAGAUUCUGAGAUCCGGAGCUAUCAAUAUAGGCGACCCUGUUCUCCUGUUCAACUCUAGGUUACGACUUUUCCCUGGGAAGCUGCGUUCAAGAUGGACUGGCCCUUUCAAAGUAUCUAAGAUUCUGAGAUCCGGAGCUGUAGAAAUCAAGAACGAAACCUUGUAAAUGGGCAAAGACUGAAGCUCUAUGAAGGAGGAGACAUUCCAACAGACUACUCGAGCCACACUCUGAUAGAUCCACCAAUUCCUACGGCAGAUGUAUAAGUUCAGAUCGUCAAGCUAACGACGUUAAAUAAGCGCUGCUUGGGAGGCAACCCACAGUUUUCUUAUCUUAUUUUACUUUUUUUCAUUUAUUUACUUUAUUUUAUUUUUAAUAAUAUUUUCGUCAGGACUAAAUAUCAUUUGCAAUGUUUGUGUUUUUAGGAUCCUUUUCCCUAACCUUUGCAGGAUACAGAACUUUGAUGACAUGCACGUAGCUUUUAGAGAUGACGCCCAGAGGGAGUGUUACAUAGUUCUCUACCAGCUCCCUAUGGCACAUACAUGCUAUCCGGACCAGGAUUGCAUGGAUGCCCUAGGCAUUGAGCCGAGCAUCAUAUUCUUGUGCCACCAACUCCAAUGGGAUGAAUUUGCUGAUGACAUGAACAACACCUACAGGAACUUGACUCUGGAGUUCCUCAGCUCGUUUGAGUAUGAUCCUUACUCCGAACCAGAUAGACAUGUUGUUUUCAGGCUAUUCAGGAUUGAGUACUCUUUCAGCCAGAAGGAGUUUGGUGACUUAUUAGGUUUUCAGACUACCCCCGACUCUAUCCCUGAGAUGCUGAUGGGAUACUUUCUGAGUAAGGAAGUGGAGAAAUUCUGGAGUGAUAUCUCUGAUGGAGGGAGUCAGGAUCCUUCCACUCAGUUGUCCCGGGUUAUCCACAACUCUGCUAUGAGGUAUUUCCAAAUGAUAUUGGCGCACUUCUUUCUUGGAAGACCAGAUGCUGAGACUCUGGUGAGUGAAGAGGAGAUAUUUUUGUUAUUCUGUGUAUCCCAGUCACGCCCUGUGGCAUGUGGGUACUUUCUGUUGUGUGGCCUCAGCAAUGUUGCCAGAUCAUCCGAAGGAGUUAUUCAUGUAGGAGGGAUUGUCACGGAGAUUUCCAUUGCCUUAGGCCUAUCCCGCAAGUUGCUCUAUCUCAGGACUUUCUGUGGCUAUACUACUAUGGAUAUUGAUUUCUGCUUGACCAGAGGAUUCAUGAGGAGAUCCUCUUUCAAUCCCAGACAAUUCAGAUUGUUGAUUGAUAGGGAGACGAUACACUACUUUACACUGCCAGACCCGAUGAUGACCAGUGUUCAUGACCUAGCUAACUAGAGUUAUGCUUUGGAAGGUCAUGGAGAGACUGUUGAUGAGCCUAUAUCCCCUCUUGUUGCUAUUAUACUCCUACGCCACCUUCACCCAGGAUUACUGUGCUCUCUAAUAAUUUAUCUUUGCAGACCCCAGAUGUCCACACGCAGAUUGCCGAGUGUCGCAGAGAGAUUGCCGAGCUUAGGCAGGAGGUGGCUGACCUUAAUUUACAGAUUGCGGUGUCCGAUCUCACACAUGCUACUGAGGCUGAUUGUUUGUAGCAAGAGAUAGAAGAGCUUUGUCAGGAGAUAGCCGUACUUCAUGGAUCUAGUCAGGCAGAGAAGCCCUCUGCUGUUUGAGUUUACCGUCUCGUUUACCUUUUCUUAUUUAUGCUUAUAUUAUUUUUCGAAUUUCCCUGACUUAUUUUAUAUUAUCGCAUUCGGUAUAUUUUCUAAUUAUGUUAGCACUUUGAUAUUUCCAUAUAUAUAUAUAUAUAUAUAUAUAUAUAUAUAUAUAUAUAUAUAUAUAUAAUAUAUAUAAAUAAUAUAUAUUAUGUGUGUUUAUUUCAUUUAUAUUCAUAUUAUAAUCUAAUAGCUUUAUUUUAUUUGUUUAACGUUUAAUUUUAUUUUCAUAAAUUGUGCAAGCCUUAUUUCAUUAGAAAAAACAAUAAAAAUGCUAUCCGGACCCCCAGACCCAAAAAAAGCAUGGAGAAGCCCAUACCAAUCUUCAAAUUUUGGCGCAGCUUCAAUUGCUCUUGUGGCGCCUGCCAUAGAGUCUGUGGCGCCCGCCACGGCGUCUGAUAUAUUAGGGACAGAUUCAAAGAAUUCACCAUUUUAACCCUCAAACUUCCAAAACCCAUUUUUUCCUCUUCCAAAAACUCCUUUGAACCCCAUAAAAGCUCCUACAUUUCUCAUCUUCCCACCAUACAAUUUACCUUUCCAACUUCCAUUUUAAUUUUCAUCCAUCAAUAUCCAUAAAAAUCCCACCUUUACCACACUAUAUAUAUAAACCCAUUUUCAUCUUCUUCAACACAUUCAAAGAGAAAAACAAUGGAGUUCAACGGAUAUAUUCUUCGCGAAGGGAAACCUAGGGAUAAGCAGAGAAGGAUUAUUGAAAGGUUGCAAAAUCGGGAAAUUCUCCCGAUGAGGUACGUGGAUGAUAACUGUCUUUAUACUUUAGGUAUAUACCAUAG
rnacentral:lncRNA from 1 species